rnacentral:lncRNA from 1 species
CAUAUCAAUCCUGUCAAUCAAGUAUUAAAAUUUCGAAUAACUUUAAUCUCUUUUAUUUAUAUUUUGGCCCUGUAACAACACAAUAAUCUUAAAUAUACGUAAAAAAUAAAAGCAUUUUGGGAUUUCACACAUAUCGAUCAUGGAAAUCAAAUUCAAUUAUUUUCUCUCGAUUUAAUAUGAAGGAUUGAAGCCAUUCAAUAUGUUGAAAGGCAUCCAAAAGUUAUUUGUAUAUUUGCCUUUUAUAUGCAAAAAUAUUCCUAAACAGACAUAACUGAUAACUUUUUCUCCCAUAUCAAGCAUAGAAACCAAGUUCAAUCAAUCGAACAAGCUUAAUAUCAAGUAUUGAAGCUAUCAUAAGUGUUAAAAUACAAUAAUAACAACAACCAGAUAAUAAAAGGCGUAAAUAUACGCAAACAGUAACUUUUCAUAUAUAUCAUAUGUGUAACUAAGUUUAAAACUUUCGAUAAGUUUAAUAUUAUGUAUUGAAACAAUCAAAUCUAUUAAAACAUAACAAUAAAUGUUAAUUUCCAUAUUUAUCUUUUAACGGCAGAAAAAGUUCAUUCAUUGGAAUAAGUUAAUUAUCAUAAACUUAUGAUUUUUUUUUGCUUCUUACAAAACUUUUGAUCCACUUGUGUGAUUAUAUUUCUGUUCCUUUUUGCUACCAAUCACAAUCUAUUCUCUUUCCUGUCAUAAAAAAUAAUUGCGUAUAUGAUAGAAAUACAAAUAUUACCAACUGAAACCAUCAAACACUUUUAUCAUUUAAUUCUAUUAUCCAAAGUUAUAAACUAAUACCUUUCCUUUUCUUGAGAACCAAAAUUUAACUAGUUGUUUAUAUUGCCACCUAAUCACAUUACUAGGUAGAUUUUGCAUCAUCGCCUUUACAGUAGUAUUUCGAUCGAAAUACUUAUUCUUCAAACUAUGCUUAUAAUCUUUCCAUUUCUUUUCCAAUGACUUAAGCACAAAUAAAGUUGAUAUUUGAAGUACAAAUCUUGACUGUAAUAAUAGAAUAAAAAAAGUUUCAAUAAGUAAACAAAAUGUAAAAUAAAAAUUUUGAAUAUAUCUAAUUAAUUAUACUAAUACCUCAAUAAAGUUUAACACAUCGGCCUUAACUUCUUCUGAAUAUUAUGCCAUGUUUCAUAAUGAAUAGGCAAUUUCAUUCUAUUAUGGGCUAGCAUGCCUAGAAAUUCAGCCAAUAGUUAAGCCUUUCACCAAUUGGUUGCCUAUCAGAGUUUGCAAACACUACAAUACGCUCGUUAGGAGGUAGUGCAAACAAUUCCUUCAAAGUUGUUUAGCCUUUGGUCUUUCGUUGACCAUUGUUAUCAACUGCAACAAAUAUAAAAUAUAUUUGUAAAAUCGUAAUACUUUUAUCAUUAUACUCGAAUUAUAAAAUUAGAGUAUAUCAUAUCUGCAUUCAAAUUUAAAGCAUAAUCAAUUGAUGGGUACUAUCUAAACUUGAACCUCCUAUAUUGUCAGAUCUAAUAUCAGUUGAAGGGUUAGAAGUGACAGAGUUAGAUCUGACAGUACGUUCAUUUGCCUCUAAAAGAUUUAGUCCAUAGCCAAUAUCUAUAGGUGCUGCAAACGGUUCUGAUAUAAUAUCUCUGAUAUAUUUUUCUUUCAACCUACUUCUCUGCAUUGUAGCUUACCUACAUCAUAAAAGUGAAUAUAGAAAAAAUGUUAGUUCAGAAGAUAUAUAAAGACAUAAACAAUUUAAGAAAUCAAAACCUACGAUAUAUAAAGAACAUUUCGAUUUAAUUAAAUCAAAAUAUAAUGUAUGAUUUAGAAGAUAAUAAUUAUACAAUAGCGAAUGUGACAUUAUUUACAUACUAUUAUUUAUUACAUUAUAUUUUAAACACUCGAAUUAUAGGUGCACGAAACAUGGUUCGUAAAUGUCUUCAGUAACAUCUUCGUGGACCCACUGAACAUAGGUACUGGAGAUAUUCUCAUCCAAGUUUUGUUUAGUAAAAGGAUAACAUUCAGUUUCAUGUUUAACAUCAUCUUUGGUAUCUAACCCUAUAUCAAAUAAGUCUCUAGGUGUGUUUCCCAGAACAAUAAACCAACCUAAUUUUUUCAGAUCUUCAGACUAAAAUACUUGUUUGACUUGAGAUGAAAAUACAUAAGGUUCAUCGAUGAGUUGUUGUCUAGUGUGAAUUAAUCGAGAAAAAUUCAUAAGUGUAAAUCUUUACUGAUCUUUCUUAAGACCUUUUGUACUAUUCACGUCUGCCCAAUCACACCGAAAUAAGAUAACUUCUCACUUGCCAUAAUAAUCCAAUUUAAUGAUGUCAUUAAUCAUGCCAUAAUAGUCAACAUUUUCCUCUAAAGGGUUUGUGUCCCUAGCACUAACAUAGCUAGUAGUUGAUGAAAUCACAACAACUCCUGAAUUUUAUGUACUUCUAAAUCUUUCAUGGGAUUUUGUGCGAAAUCUAAAUCCAUUGAUGAUGAAACCUUUGUAUCAUUUCACAAUCUGAUUCAGAUCGUGUGAAAGACACUCCAUCUCUUCACUAACAAGCCUUUCAUUCCAAACCUAUAAAAGUGAAAUAAAUAUAUAUAUGUUAUUAAUAUUAUAAUCACCGUAAGCAUUCUAUGUAGAUAAAAAAUAAUGAGAAGUAUGGCAUUACUUACAGUUACUCCUAACCAUUCAUGAAAGUUUUCAGUGAAUAACUUAUCAACCUUUCGAGGGUUUGAUCAUCGAUAACAUGCAUGAUCUCUCAAAUUAUUUCUAUACUCACUAAAAAGCAUCAUAAUAAAGUAUUAACACUAAAAAAAAUACAAUUAACUAUGCCUAAUGUAAUGAAUAAUUUUCUUGCUAAACAACUUAGGUGCAAAACGAUUCAAUUGAGUCAUGAUGAAUAAGAACAUAUCGAUGUGCUUGUGCCCAAGAUUUAUCAUCUAACUCCACCAAUUUAGCUUUGUUUAUAGGUUGUCCAAAACUUUGAAAAAGAUAAUUGUAGGUCAAGUCUGUAUGCUGCAUACCAAUAUUUCUCAAAGGCCUAUUAAAUCUCAUUUCAACAUCUUCCAAAUAACGAGAACUAAAUGUCAUACACUCUUCUGUUAAAUAUCUUUCAGCAAUAAAACUUUUCGGAUAGCAUUUGUUACGAUAAUAAGACUUUAACCUCCCUAAAAACUUAUAGCAUAAAACAUUAGUCAUAUGUUAUUUUAAGUAGAUUGGCUUGAUAAUCAAUAAAAAUGUAAUCAAUUUAUUAAUAAAUAAUACCUUUCAAUAAGAUACAUCCAUCGAUAAUAAAUCGACCUUCGACCUUUAUUGUAUAUGGAAAGUGGAUAACCAAAUGCAUCAUAAUAGUGAAAAAGUUUGAAGGAAAGAUCUUCUCUAAAUGGCAUAAAGUAAUUACGGCUCGAUCUUAAACUUUGUCAAGCUCGUCCACAUUUAUACACUUCUGACAUAGAGAUUUAAAUAUGUUACUCAAUUCAAUUACCACAGAAGUCACUUGCUUUGACAUUGAUGAGCGAAAUGCAAUUGGAAGUAAGUUUUACAUCAAAAUGUGAUAAUCAUAUGGCUUUAAUAAAGAAAAAUUUUGCUCUUUCAUAUUCACACAUCUUGAUAUAUUUGACGCAUAGCCAUCCGAAACUUUGACAUUUUUUAAAACCUUAUAAAACACAUCUUUUUCAACUUUAGAAAUCAUAGAAUAAACAACAUGCAAUCGAUAUUUACUAUUAGGAAGCAAUAUCCGAUGAAUGUCUGGGCGAAUCCCUAUAUCAACUAGGUCAAGCUGACUCUUUAAGCCAUUCUUGGAUCUUCUAUUCACAUUGAGAAUUGUCCCGAUAAAAUUUUUGUAAACAUUCUUCUCUAUGUGCAUCAAAUAAAGGUUAUGACGUAAGAAAUUAUAUUCUCAAUAAGGCAACUUAAAAAAUAUACUUCUUGUUUUCCACAACUCAUAUUCAUUGGGGUCAUCUACUUCAUCAUCUUUUUCAUCACUUUGAACAUCAAGAUCACCAACUUUUGUAUGACUAUCACCAACUUAUGUAAUACGAGGUCAGACACCUUUAAAGAUGUCCCUCACUCUUUUCCUUGAUGGAGUUAUUUUUUCAUAUGUAAAACUAAUAUCUUUUAACUUUGAUAAGAUAUUAGACCCACUAAUGGGUAAAUGCGAUCUCUUCAACUCUUUAGUUCCAUCAAAGAGAUGUUUUUCGAAUCUAAAUCGAUGAUUAUCAUCUAACCGUCGAUAAUGUCCCAUAUAACAGAACUUCCUACCAUUAUGUAACCACGUCGAACAUGUCUGUGCAACAUAACAUGGAUAAGCAUAACGAUCUUUUGUACUCCAACCAGAUAAAUUUGCAUAUGUAAGAAAAUUAUUGAUAGUCCAUAAUAAAGAGUACACAUAUUGAAGUUCUCUACUUUUGAUGCAUCAUAGGUCUUAAUUCUUUUCCAUAAUUACUUAACUCUUUAAUAAAAAGUUGUAAGUAGAUGUCUACAUCAUUACCUAGACCUUUUUCCUUGAGAAUUAUCAUAGAUAAUAUAAAUAACUGUUGCUUCAUAGCAAUCCAUAGUGGCAAAUUGUCAGGAAUCAAUACAACUAGCUAAGUACUAUAAGAAGUACUCAUCAUUUGAAACAGAUUGAAUCUAUCAGAUGCCAGUCUAAGCAUAACAUUUUAAAGAUCAGAUGUAAAGUUUGAAAACCUAGAAUGAAAUAACUUUCAUGCCAAAAAAUCUGUAGAUGUUUUAAUGAUCCAUCAUCUGUCCACUUCUCAUGAUGCCACCUCAUUGAAUCUGUAGUUUUGGAAGACAUGUAGAGUCAUUGAAGUCUUGGUAUUAAUGAAAAAUAACAUAAAACCUUAACAGGUUUCUUUUUGACACAUACCUCAUCAACAUCAUCAUUCAACCUUUCAUCGAGGUUUUUAUCAACCAAAUGAGAAAUACCACACAAAUGACAAGAUUCUUGAUUUUUUCUAUCCCCUCAAUACAACAUGCAAUCAUUGGGAUAACUAUGAAUUUUUUCAUAUCUGAGAGCUAAAUUUUUUAUCAUCUUUUUUAAUUCCUUACAAGAUUCAGAGAUUUUUGUAAAAAGAAAUAUUUUUUUUAUAAACUGUAAUAAUAAAGUCAGAGAGUUUUCAUCCAUCCACAUAAGCAUUUCAAGUGAAAAAGAUGAACACAGAAAGAUAACCUUGAAUGCUUCGAUCCCUCAAAAAGUUCUUCAUUCAUUUCUUCAAGCAACUUACAAAAUUUAGAUGCUUUUCCUCUAGGUUGUUGUUCACAUACACCUAUCCCAGGUUCACUAAAUUCAUGCAUUUCAACAUUGGACUGAUUAAAUCCUUCAUUUUGGAGAAAAAGAUUACGAAAAUUUUGGUUAUGAAUGUUAAAAGUAUCUCGUAAUAUGCCCUCAAUGUCAUCUGUAAUAAAUAGAUUAUAUUGGUGAUGGAGAGCCUUUGAUGUUGAAGGAACUAUAGUGGAAGUUCUUGAAAGUACAGACUCUUCAUGAAAAUAUCAAUUAACAUAUCCCAAUAGAAAUCUAAUACAAAUUAAAUGCUCAUAAACAAUUUUACACAUUUACCACUCGAUAUUAGCACAUUUUACACAUGUGCAUGAUAUCAUAUUAUCUUCACUUAUAUUCUCAAAUGCAAAAUUAAAAAAAUUUUACACUCCAUCUCUAUACUCUUGACUUAAUCUUGACUUUUACAUCUAACUCUUAUCCAUUUAUUACUUGCUACAUUAUCAGACCAAAUGUAUAUAAAAAAUUAAUAUGAAAACGAACAUGUAGAAUUGCAUAGUUUACUAUGUUUUAAACAAAAGAUAAUAACAAGACCAAUACUUACACAAAAUGAGAACUCCUUGUUGUGAAGUAAUUUAUCAGCUACCAGAUAUUAUGAUUAUUAAAACUCUGCAGCUAAUGUAGAUAGUACCCAAGAGUAUUUGUACUUGGGGUUGACAUAAGGUGAAAUAAGGUGGGUUUUGUAGAAUUUUUUUUCACAAAAAAAAAAAAUCAUGAAUUGUAAAAGUUGAAGGAAUAGUUGAAUGAAGUAAAAGCUAAAAUCAAUAAGUUAUGAAUAGUUAAAAUAGGGUUCUAAAAAAUAAUGCUUGAAUACAAAAAGUGGAAGGAAAGAGAAAGUAAAUUGUACUUGAUCUGGAAAGAGAAAUAGUAUAAUAAUGAAGAUGAAACUUGAAGUUAGUGAUUGGAUGCACUAAGUUAGAAAGAUUUUUAUUGGAUAAGAUUAUGGAAGGCAUUUACUAACAAAAAAUGCCAACAAUAAUUCCCUUAUACAUAUUUUUUAAAUAUAUUAUAGGCACUUUAAACAGAUCGUCACAUAAAUUCUAACACUAUUAUUGAAGGUGUAUAUCCAACAAAGACGUCUUUAAUAAUUUAUAUCACAGUUUGUAGUUAAUUACUGAAGACAAUUACAGAAAACAAUGCUUUCAAUAAUUUUUCUCAAAAAAAUUUUUUGGAUUAUUAAAUGUAUCUUUUAUUAUGACACGUCUUCAAUAUACCACGAUAGUAAUGGAAGGUGUUUAUUAGAAAAAGUACCUUCAAUAUACCUUUAAACUUAGUAAUCCAUUAGUGAAGGUGUUUGUUAAUAAUAGAUGCCUUCAAAAUUUUUUCAUUAAAUGUUUUGAGAAUUAUUAAAUGUGUCUUCUACUGUCAAAUGCUUUUUAUAUAUCACCACACAAAUUUUAACACUGUUAUUGAAAGUGUAUAUUUAAGAUAGAUGCCUUUAAUCAUUUCUAUCAUAGUUUGUAGAUAAUAACUGAAGGCAGUUGCAUAAAACAACGCCUUCAAUAAUUUUUCUAAAAAAAUUUUUACAGAUUUUUAAAGGCGUAUUUUAUUAUAAACGACCUUCAAUAUACCAAGAUGGUAAUGAAAGGUGUUUAUUAGAAAAUGCCCCUUCAAUAUACCUUUAAACUUUGUAAUCCAUUAUUAAAUGUGUUUGUUAAUAACAGACGCCUUAAAAAAUUUUUCACUAAAUAUUUUAAGAAUUAUUAAAGGUGUCUUCUACUAUUAAAUACCUUCUAUACACUGCCACAUAUAUUCUAACACUGUUAUUGAAGGCAUAUAUUUAAGAUAGAUGCUUUUAAUAAUUCCUACCACAGUUUAUAGAUAAUAAUUGAAAGUGAUUGCGAAAAAUAACGCCUUCAAUAAUUUCUCUCAAAACAUUUUAGUGGAUGAUUAAAGGUAUCUUUUAUUAUAAACCGCCUUCAAUAAAUUGUUAUAGACUUUGGAAAUCCAUAAUUAUUGAAGGUGAUUUUUUUACUGAAAAUGCCUUUUAUAAUUUUUAAGAAUUAUAAAAGGCAUUUUUUUUUAUAAAAAAACACCUUUAAUAAGUUGGUUGGACAAUUUUAAAGGCUUAUAAUUAAAGGCAUCUUUUUUGUAAAAAAAUGUCUUCAAUAAUCUCCAAUAAAAUCUUCAAGUGAUUAUUGAAGGCGUUGUUCCAUGAAAAUGCCUUUAAUAAUUAAUUUUACAUUCAUUUUCCUACCUUAAACAUAGGAAUUUGUAGAGGCCUGGUACACAGAAUGACUAAAAGCUGCGCUAUUCAACCAAACAAACCAAACCCUUAAACAUUUUUCUAGCAAAUCAUUGCUUUUUUUCUCUCAUUCCUCACCACUGACUUUUCACAAAUCACCACUGUGAACCUCUGGUUUAACUAGUAAGUCUUUUUUUUUUAGUUUACUGUAUUAUUUAUGCCUUCAAUAGUCGAAUUUUUAUUUUUUCAAUUCCUUAAUAUUGACAUAUGUGUUUAUAUAUUUUCAUUAACAUCACCGUAAGCAUAGUCAUCCAAGAUUCUAUUUAUAUUGCAAGUUUGCUAUUUCUAUGUAGUACUUAUUAAAUAUUAUGGUUUGCUAAACCUUAUUGACUGAUGUUGUAUUAUCGAAUGGUAUUGUAUGAUAUUGGGGGUCUGAAUAAUAUUUCAUGUUGAAUGGUUUACUGAAUCUUGUUGUCUGAUAUUAUUUUGCUGAAUGGGUUUGAAUGGGAACUAAAAGGUGUUUUUGAGUGGUUUGCUAAAGGGUGUGUAUGAGCACAUUGCUGAAUGGUGUGCUAAAUGUUGUUUAUGUACAUAGUAUGGUAUUAGUUAUAUUAAACUAAGUAUAAUGAUCAAUUUAGAGGGUUAUAUUGUGUAAUUUGUAUAAUUAUUAUCAAUAUUACAGGUAAUAUAGACUUUGAACAACAUCAUUCUUCUUCUAAUAAACAUGCAGAAGAAAAAAGUGUAGGCCAAAAGAGAAAAAAAAGGGGCCCAAAUAAACAGAUCAAAGUGACUGACACAAAAAUUCAUGUUGACUUUAAUCAAAGUGGGUAAUCUGUGUUGGAAGGAGUUGCCAAGAUAGCUACUCAUAUUGAAGCCAUCGUCUGUCAAAAGAUUUCAAUUACGUACAUCGAUUGGCGACGAGUUUCUGAUGAUCUAAAAGAUGAGAUAUGAUAGUUCGUUGUGGUAUGUUUAUUCAACUAUUUCAUAAAAUUUGUUAUAUGAUCAUUUAAUUGAAAUUCAUUGUGUUGAUACUAUUUGUGUUAACUUAUUUAGGAACGGUUCGACGUUUCAAUUAAGUGUAAAAAGAUUUAUUACAAUCUGCUGAAAAAGUUUUCAGAUACUUUAAAAGCAGAUUGACAACCCAAUAUAUUUUACCAUUGGCUGGUGAAGGUGAUGUUUUGAUUGUUCCUCCUGUGGCAUAUACAGAUAUCAUAAGUGUUGAAGAUUGGAUAAAUUUUGCUCAAUAUCGACUUUCAAAAGAUCUUUCGGUACGCAAACCCAUUGCCAAAUUAUUCCAUGUUUAUAAAUCUUUAUGCAAUAUAACCUUUAAUCUUCAUAUGUGAUUGACGUAAUUUUUUGAUUUUGUAGAAAAUCAAAUAACAACGUCAGGACAUUUGGGCCAAACAACAAUAUACCAUCAGACAACAAGAAAAGGAUAUGCAACUGUGAAGUAUGAGCUUGUAUGUAUUCGCACAGUUAUUUUAUACUCAUUAAUGAAUAUUUAUGAACAUUCAUUCCAUAUAUUUUGAUUCUUUUUUUAUGGUAAUUUAAUAAGAAUUGAUGAGCUCAAGCAUAGAAGUUUUCAGAUGGGAUGUCUAGAAAUAAAGAUAUUUACAGAAUGAUGGAUCUUUUGCAGAUGAAGCAAUCGAGGAAAUGGCAAAAAAGAUUGUAUUAUAACUACUUUUUUUAUAUAAUGUAUGAUUGGUAUUAUGGUUGUAUGCAUGAGUGUAUACUAGCUUGUGUAGAUCUAUUCUAACGGCUUCGUUUAUUAUUGUCUUUUAGGAUGAUUAUGUUGUCAAAGUAAAAUUUGAUGAACUAACAACCCAGUAUAAUGAAGAUCCUUUGUCUUUAGCAUUAAGCACUAAAAAAAAUGCUUGGUCAGGUUCAUGGGGUUGGUAAAUUUGUCUUGCCAUCAAUGUAUUUUGGUAAAUAACCAAAAACAACACGAAUGAGAAAUGCACAAUAUGAAGCAAUAAUUGAGCAACAACAGCAAUAAUUAAUGAUAACGUGCAAUGCCUCAAUGACCAAUAACAAAAACUCGUUGCUUUGGAUCCAUGUUGGCGACAAUGCAGCAAGUUAUGCCAGUACCCCAGCCUGAUAGCAUCGUCCUCGUACAAGAAGCUUCUGUUGCAAGUAAGGAAGCCAUCCCAUCAUCCACUACCACCCCAAGAAGUAUGAUAUUGUUUAUAAUUUGAAUAUUAAUUUGUUUAUUAUAUUGAUUGAUUUGAUUUUAAUACUUAUAUUUUAUUAAAUAUUGUAAGAGGAUGUACAGAUUCAAAGUCUGACCCUUGCUUAGGCUUUCAUGGAUGAGUUAACAAAAUAUUUGUUGAAGAAUUGUACCCGUGGAAACUUCAUGUCCAUUGAGUCUGAGGAAGACUUAUUUGAUAAGCAAUCAUUUUUUUUCAUUGGUGUGGAUGAGGUGAAAGAAUUUUGUGAAAUUGAUGAAUUAUUAGCUGUUGAAAUCAUUACUUAUAUGAGGUUAGCUUAUAAAUACAAAUAUGCACAUUCAAUAUGUAGUAAGUUAGUAUUAGGGUGUAAUACUAACCAGUAGUGUUGAUUGUUAUCGUGUAGCUUCCUAUAUAGAGAGCUGAAGGCAAAAUAGUUAACGAAUAGAUUUAGAUUCAUUGACCUCAACUUCAUUAGUGAGCAGAGUGGCACAGUCAUGUAUCAUGUUAAUCAUGUGAUUCUAUGCAUGAAAAGAUUGAUUGAUUAUUAUUUGCUCCCGUAUAAUGCGCAGUAAGCUAUAUUCCAACCUUAUUUGCUCCAACCUGUUUCAUUUUAUGAUUUGACGCGUAUUCUGAGUAUAUCAUUGUUAUUAUUUUGCAGUUAUCAUUGGUGCUUAUUGUGAUUGACACCAAAUCCUUAACGCCAUACUUUUUUAAUUCAGUUAAUCCAACGAUGAUGCCUAACCCCGAUAUUCAAACUUUUAUAAAGAGAUAUUACAGUACUUUAUUAUAUUGUAUAUGUUCUGUUUCUUUAUAACAAAUUUUAUUUAUGUUCCCACUAAUUUUUUUUUCUUUUCAAUUUAGGGUAAUAUUUGCAUUCAAUAAGAAGAUAAAGAAACUGAAAUGGGUGUUAUUAUCGGUAAAUGUCAAAUUUAUUCUUUUAAUACAGAGUUUGUGUAGAUAAAUAUUUUCUAAACCGAUUCAAUUUAAUUUUCAGGUACCUCGUCAACCUGGUAAUAUUGAAUGUGGAUAUUAUGUCCUUCGUUUUAUGCAGGAGAUAAUGUUACAUGAUUUUAUGAUAACACUAUUAAAGGUUAGUAUAAAUUUCAUAAACUCGUUAUAUAUUUAAAAAAUAAAAUGGUACAUUAUGUGCUCAUUUCUUAACAUUUACUUAUGAUAUUUUUUUUUAGUGGGAGGGUAAAGAAAGCUUCAGGAAAAGGAGUUGGAUGAAGUCCGUAAAGAAUGGUGUGAUUAUGUAUUGUCAUUUAUCAAUGUUGAUAAACUUUCAGGUUAAACAUUGUUGGUUGAAUGUAAAUAUAUAUGGAACAAAUUGUUAUAAUAUUUUUAACAUGCCAUGUUGAAUGGAAACUUUAAGUUUGUACAUUGGGGGUAUUGGUUUAAUAUUAUUGUUAUACUUAAUAUGAAUACAUUAUGUGUACUUAUUAAAUUACUGAGUACGAUUAUUUCAUAAAAGUAUAUUAAUAUGACAAUGUUAUCAGUUUUAAUUUCGAAUGUGUGGUCAAUUUUUUUGAAAUACAAUAAUGUUCAUUAUGCAAAUUCUAAAAUGUAAUUCAUAGUAUCAGACAUAUAAACCAAAUAUUUUCUGAGCAUGAAUAUACAACUGACAGCAAACAUUUUUCUGGGUAUAAACCUACAAUUGACUUCACAUAUAAAUUAUCAAUUAUGUUUUUUUGAUGCAAUUAAUGAAGGUAUUUUUAGCAAGAAAAUGCCUUCAAUCACCCCUAACAGAAAACAUUGAAGGCAUUUUUUACCAAAAUCUCUUUUAAUAAUCCUCCCAGGAAAUUAUUGUCUGGAAUAUUAAAGGCAUUUUGGGUAAAAAAAUCCUUCAAUAAUACUAACUAAAAAUUAAUCGAAUGGAUUAUAAAGGGUAUUUUCCUAUAAGUAACACCUUAUAAUCCUAACAAAAUGUUUAUGAAGGCAUUUUUUGAUAUAGCUGCCUUCAAUAAUUCGACAAUUAAAAUUUAUCUCUGGGAAUAUUACAGGUGUUUAGAGCUUAAAAUGUGUUCAACCAUCUCAUCCAAGUUUUGUCUAUGGAAUAUUGAAGGUGUUUCUUACAAAACCACCUUUAAAAAUCUUUAAAAAAAUUUAUUGAUUGGAUUAUAGAAGACGAGUUCGACUAAAAGUGCCUUCAAGAAUUGAAUUCAUAUUUUUGCUAUCGAUUAUUAAGGGCGUCUUUCCACCAAAAACGCCUUCAAUAUUCUAAGAAAAAUUUUUUAAACCAAUUAAUGAAGGCCUUUUUGCCAAGAAAAUGCCUAGACUAAUCAAUAACAAAUAAUAUGUGCCUAAACCUAAAAAAAGGCUAAAUUAAAGACGGAUCAAACCAACAACCUUAUGGUAAACAUCCGUACGAUCCAAACAACUUGAUAACCUUAAUAUUGAAGGAAUUUUUGCAAAAAAUAAAAAAAAAUUUAAUAAGCCUUGGAAAUUUUUAGUCUAAAUAUUAAAGGCAUUUCUUGUAAACAACGCUUUCAUUAAUCUCAUACAAUUUUUUAUGACAUGAUUAUUGAAGGCGUUGUUUACCAAAAAUACGUCUUAACUAUUCAUCGAAACUUUUAAUAAAAAAUAUUCAAGAUGUUUUAGUCGAGAAAUGCCUCUAAUAUCAAGUCUUAGGCGGCGUUUAUAAGUAAUAACGCUGCUAUUUGAAUAUUUGUGGCAUUUGGAUAAUAAACGCUUGAAAUUUUAUAAAAACAUGGAAGCUAGCAUUAUUUGUAAGUGAAAGGCCACUACAAAACUAUCGCUAAAACACCAUUUUGCUGUAGUGUAGCCUUUCUCCCAUGGCUCCCUUAACCUAAUCUCAAUCUAUCAAUUUGCCUUUUCAUAGGCAACAACUCGUGCUUUGAACACUCAUCUGGAAAAUGCAUGCAAGGGUAAAUUAAGGGCUUUUAACUUUCCAUGAUGCAUUAUAUUCUUGUAUUAAUUAGGUGAAAAUGCUGAUAGAUACUUGUAUAUAAAAUGUGAAUUCCAAAAUUGUUAGUAGUGAUCAAUUUAAAUAUUUUUAUAAAAUUUUAAAUUAACAAAUUUAUCCUUAAAUAUAUUAUUUUUAUUAAUUUAUUUAAAUUUAAUUUAAAUAAAAUAUAAUUAAAAAUAAAGUUUACGAGAAAUAAAACUACUUAAAAUUUUAAUUUUAAGUGUUAACAGUAAUUAAUUAAAACAUCUUUAGUAGAAUUUUUUAUAAACUUUAAUUUAAGUAAAUUUUUAUUAUUAGACAUUUUUUUAUAAUUAAACUAAAAAAAAUACUAAAACUGAUUGACUAAUUAAUAAAAUUUUAAUUUUGAAAAUAUUAAAAGUGAUUGAUUAAAAUACCAUUAGUAAUUUUUUAUAAAUUUUAAUUUAAAUGAUUUUAUUUUUAUUAUUAAACUCUUUUUCAUAAGUACAAUGAUUUUUCAAAUUAAAUGAAAAUACAAAUAGAAUGAUAUAAAAACUUAAUGCACAUAAGAAUAAAAUAAUUAUAUGAAGUUUGUUUUUUUAGUUGUUAUAAAAAUAAUUGUAUAUGCAAUUUAUGUUGUUAAAUAAAUUUAUUAAGAUUAAUCUUAAUAAAGUUAUUUAAGAAUAUUUGUUUUUUUUCUAUUUUUGAAUUUCAAUUUUUAUUUUAAUAUAUUAACAUAUAUGUAUGAUAAUAAUUUUAUUAUUUAUAUAUUUUAUGAGUUGAUCAUUUGAUCAUUGAUAACAUAAUUGAAUUUUUUUAGUCUUUGAAAUAAUUUUUUAAUAUAUCAUUCUUACAUUUUAGUAUGACCUGUAUAAUUAAUUUUUUUUCUUUUUUUUUAAUUUUAUAAUUGUUAUUCCUAUGAACAAAACUAAUAUCAAAUCAAAUGAAAAUUAAUUGCACCAUCUUCACCAACAAUUAGCACUAUGUGAUUCAUUGAACACUUUAAUUAGAUUUUUUUCUUAUAAAAAUAGAUAAUUCAAAAGAUGAUACAGUUACCAGUAGCUUAAGAUUAAAUCCCAUCAAAUUGUCAUAAAAAUUAUUCAUCUUAAUUGAAACAAUAAUUUAUUUAAUUUUCUCUAAAUAUUUAUCUUAAUAUGCUUAUAUAUGCUUAUACAUUCAAUUGAUGGAAGCAUCAAUGAAAGAUUAUUCCAAGUAGAAAAAUGAGAUAAAAGAUUGAUUAGUUAUGUAUAACUUCAUCUUUUUCAUAUAAUAAAGAAGAUUAGUGUCAUAUGAUGUUCAAUGACAAAUAUAGAAAUAUAUCAGUUUCAAAUUUCUUUAAGAUUAAAAUGAAACUCUUUUAUUUAGAAAAAAACAUUGUAUAAUCCUUCAUUUUCUCCUUUAUGUCAGUUAAAAAAUAUUCAUUAUUGUAUUAAAAUUUUAAGAUUAUCAUAUUAGGUAAUAUUUGUUUAAAAGAAUUGAAAUUUAUUGAAUUCAUUAUCACUAUUACAUUUAAUAUAAAAAUAUUUUUAUAAAUUAUAAUUUAACUAAACUUAAAAGUGAUUUAAAGGCAUUCAUUAGUAAAAUUCAUUUGAUAAAAUCUUUAUUUAAUUGUGUAUUUAGUAGUUCAAUCCUUUUGAAUUUUGAGUUUUCAUAAUUUCAAGUUAGAUUUUAGACUUAAAAUCAACAAUCAAAUAGGUUAAGUCAAGUUUUAUUAUUUUAUUUCUAUUCAUAGUGUACUCAAUUAUUCACUUAUACUACUAAAUAAAUUUGACUGAAUAAUUUAAGCUUUUUUUAUUUAAAAAACUAGAUUCAAAUUGUCCUAAAUUCAAAUAAAAAAGUAUACUCAAUUACUUAUAAUUGUAAUUUUAUUUUAGAAAUACUUUUAAAAUUAAUUAACUAAUUCAACCAUAAAAAUAAUAAAAAUAAGACAUUGAAAAUUAAGGAAAAAAAAAACCUAAAUAAGGAACUUUUAAAUUGUUACAGAAAAUGAAUAAGAAAUAUCAUAUUUUAAUUGGGUUACUAUUUCAAUUCAAAUUUUAGUUAUGUUCAUCAUUUCGGGUUUUAACUAAUUACUAAAUUGUUGACUUUUAAAAUCAAUUAAAAUCGAGUUAAGUUAGUUCAUUUUUAUAAUUAUGUAUAUCAUAUUAUUUUUAAUUAAAUUAAAAUUUAAAAUAAGUAAAAAUUUUAUUUAUACUCAAUUUGAGUUUUAAAUUAUUUCAAGUUUAAGUUAAUUAAUUCAUGUUAUUUUAGCUAUACUUUUAUGACAUCAGCAUAAAAUUUCAAAAUAGAAUGAAAAUAUAAUACAAUGAAACUUUAAGUGCAAAAAUAUAGAGAUACUAAUAAUAAAGAAAAUCCUUAUGUUUAAGUCUUGCAAAAAUGAAAGGAUAAAUUUUCUUUUUAGGAUUUUGAAAUUCGUAUUACAAAAAUAUUAAUAUAAAUCAACGAGUUUAUAAUCAUUUUUUUAUUGAUUAAGUUGAUGUUAUAUAAGUUAAGGGGAACAAUUCAAAUAUUUUAUUUGAAAGAAAUAUCAUAGUUUAUACUCAUUCAAAAAGACAACAUAGAGUUAACUAUUAUUUGAGUUGCUAUAACUUUUUAUAAUAUUUUUUAUUUUUUUAAAUGAAGAAGUUAAUUGACAUCAAAAUAUAAAAAAAAAAAGUCAUUUUGAAUGAUGGUAACAAUAAUAAAGCAAUAAUUAAAUAUAUGCCAUCUUUUUGUUUAGUAAAAAUUUUUUUUUUUUGCAGAGUAUGAAAGUAAUUAUUAUGAAUUUAAUAUUUUUUUAAAUUGUAGUUUGUUUAAUUUUUAUAAAUUUUAUUUAAUAAAUUUGUUUUUAUUACUUUUAUCACAUACAUAACAAAAUUUUUACUCAAAAUUAUAUACUUAAAGAUAUAAAUAUAAGAUAAAAUUUAUAACUUUCAUUGGUGAUAGGACACCUCAAAACUUUUAGUUUUUUAUAUACAAUUGUAUUUCGCUAAUAGAUAUGAAAAUAUAUAUACUAAUAAUUCAAUCAAAUUAUUAAUAAAACUUAUUUUAAUAUAUAUUAUUUUAUCAUGAACUAAAAUAUUAGAAAAAUAUCUUAGAAAUGUUGACUUAAUUUAUAUUAUAUAUUUAUUUAAUUUAGUUUUAAUAUUUGCAUUAGUAUAAAAAGUUAUGAUUUUAAUUUAUUAUUACGUAUUAAACUACUGAUAAUAAAUUAAAAGCAUUUACUUAUGUUUUUCAAAUUAUUUACACUUUAAACUUUUUCUUCCUUAUUUGUUUAUCUUAUGAAUUACAUCAUUUAGUAUAGAUUGUAAUUAUUUAUUUUUUUGGAUAUACAUAAAUUAGUGAUAACAUAGUAGUAUAUAAUUAAAAUCUUAGUAAUUAAUCAUUGAAAACUUAAAUAUAAUCGAUAUAAUUUAGUAAUAAAUUAAUAAUAACUUAAUAGUGAAUGAAUGAUAAUUUAAUAGUUAAUAGUUGAUAGCUUUUUAAUGAAUCAAUAUUAGUACAAUAAUAAAUACAUAAUACUUUAAUAGUAAAUCAAUUGUAAUAUAAUUAUAAAUACAUAACAGAUUAGUACUAAAUCAAUAAUAACUUAACAAAAAAUAAGUGAUAACUUCAUUGUUAAUUAUUAACAACCUAAUAAUAAAUUAAUAAUAACUUAAUAAUAAAUUAGUGAUAAUUUAAUAGUAAAUCAAAUUUAGUUUAAUAGUAAUUAAUUGAUAGUAGUUAUUAAUUGAAAACUUAAAAUUAAAUCAGUAUAACUUAGUAGUAAAUCAUUAAUAACAUAAUAGUUAAUCAAUAAUAACUUAAUAGUAAAUCAUUCAAAAUUUAAUAUAAAAUAGUAAUAACUCUGUAGUAAAUCAUAAAUAAUUUAGUGAUAAAUCAAUAUUAAUUUUGUGAUAAAUAGUUAAAAAUUAAAUAAUAAAUCAAUGGUAACAUACUAAUAAAUACAUAAAACUAUAAUAGUAAAUCAUUGAUAAUUUAGUAAUAAAUUGAUAACUUAAUAAUAAACAACUAAUAACGUAAUAGUAAAUUAUUAAUAACUUAGUUAUAAAUAAGUGAUAAUUUAGUAGUAAAUCACUAAUAACGUAAUAAUAAAUUAUUAAUAACUUAGUUGUAAAUUAAUGAUAAUUUAGUAAUAAAUGAAUUAAUCAUUCAUAUUUAUUUAGUAAAUUAUCAGCAAAUUAGUCUUAAAUUAGUUAUAAUUUUAUAAUAAUCAUCAAUAACUUAAUGAAAAUCAUCAACAUUGGUAAAUCAUUCAUAAUUUAAAGAUAAAUCUUUCAUAAAUUAGUAGCAAAUCAUUUAUAAAUUAAUAGUACAUCAUUGAUAACUUAGUAAUAAAUAAUUGAUAACUUAAUUAUCAAUUAUUAAUAACUUUUAUUGUACUUAAAGUUGCUAGGGAUUAAACCUUGGGUAAUAGUAGAAAUGAAGUUAAAACUUUUAUUGUAGGAAUUAGGAUAAACUUACCAUAAAUAUAUUUAAUAAAAAAAUUAGUGAAAAAUUAUAAAUUUUUAUAAAAUAAUAAUGUUAUUGUAUAAAAAAAUUUAUUUUAUACUAGAAUUGAACCUGCGACUUCUUAUAAAAAUCUAUUAUUAAAUAUAUGAUGAUAUAAAAUUUAUCAAUAAUUACAAAAAAUAUAAUAUAAGUUAUCAAAAGAUUACUAAAUUUAUAUAAAGAGGUUACUAAAAUUUUAUAAAAAAUUAUUAAAAUUAUAUCAAUAGUUAUCAAAAUUAUAUUAUAAAUUAUCAAAAUUAUAUCAAAAGUUAUUAAAAUUUUAUAAAAAAUUAUCUAAAUCAAAAUUAUAUCAAAAGUUAUCAAAUUUUACUAAUAUUAUAUCAACAUCAAAAUUAAAUUAUUAGUGUUUCUCAUUAUUAUCAUAGCAUAAAAAAUUAUUUUUGUAAAAAAAUUUUCAAAAAUAAGAAUUACACGAGUAUAAUGCAUAUGCCAAAAACUAGUGUAUAUAUAUAUAUAUAUAUAUAUAUAUAUAUAUAUAUAUACAUACACACACGUCUGUUUCUUGAAUGUUUUAUUUUUAAAAUAUAUAUUUUUUAAGUAAUAGGAUCAAAGUUUAGUUCCAUAUAUUGUUUGAUUUUAAUUUUGUUCUCGAAUAAUUUAAAGAAUAUUAGGUAAAUUUUGGGUGAAAAAAAUGUUUAAAAUUUUUAAAAGAUGAAGAUUACCAAUUAAAAACACAACCGAAACAAAGGAAAUUCAAUUUUAAACCAAAUUCAAUCCUUCGAAACUCACAUGAUUCGUACCUAAAAGGUGAAUCAUCUCUUGGGUUUUAUUUUAUUUUAUUUUUAUUUUAAAGAGAAAAAGGAAAAGAAAAGAAAAGAAGGGUGAGAUGACAAAAGCUCAUAUUAACAUUAGAUAAUAGUAUUAAAACAUAAACAAACAAUUAAGAACACAAUAUUAUCAUCCAAAAUUCAGAAAACCAUCACUAAAGAGUAUUAAAUUACAAACUUUUUAAAUUUCUUCAAAAAUAUAUAUACCUUUUAAUCUUUGCCUAAGUCAUUCAUUGGUAUUAACCUUUUAAUUUUCUUAUCAAACUAUUUCUUUUUUUUUUCUCCAAAGCAAUUAUUCAUCAAACUUAAUAACUACAUUUGAAGUUUUCAGGUACGUUUUAACCGUGGGAUCACUAUUGUAAUUAUUACCAUUAUGUAUAUCGAAACAAAAAUAUCAUAAUUUUUCAAAUCUAACGUAAUUUAAAUAGAUAAAAUAAAUUAAUAAUUUCAAGUUAAACUAAAAGAACAUCUAUUGAUGGUUCAAAUUGUUGGUGCAAACACUGAAAAUCUAAAAUUAUUACUUCUGGUAAAUAUGAAAUUUUGAAGAAAGACUUCAAGGCAUAUAACGGUGCCGCUUUCUUUAAGAUUUUAUUUGCCGUCAUUGUAUUAUUUACUUAAUAGAUGAAUAAAAGGGUUGCAAGCAAUAAACUUAAGGAUAUAAUGAAACUCAAUGACUAACUGCAUUUUGCAUUAGCAAAAUUAGUCCACUUAAACAAUCACCGGCGUAUCAUAAGAUCAUUGAACUUUUAUAAAGAUUUUCUGUAGCAAAAUUUUUAUACAAGAAAUCUGAAGUUUGAAGAAAGAGAGAAUUUCAAUAAUUGUUUCUGUGUAUUUUCAGAAAACUAGAAGAGUUUUUUAUAAAUAAAUAAGUAUUAUUUUUUAUUGACAUGAUUGUCUAUUUUUAAUAGACAAAAACUGUUUAUUUUUAAUUAAUUAAAACUAUUCAUUUUGAAUAAACUUAUUUAUCUAUUUUGAAUAGAUUUAAUUAUCUAUCUUUAUUAUUAUUAUUUUUUAAAUGAGAUUAUUUUUUAUAUUUUAUUUUAAAAAUCUCUAACACAUAUAAUUUAUUAAAGCUAAAGUGAUCUAUAACAGAAGGAACGAUUAAGAAAAUGUCGGAGGUUGGACUCCUCGACGCUCAAGUCAUAGUCAAUUGAAUUUGGAAACACCAUACAAUUGCUCCUGUCAUUGAUGUGUAGUCUAAAGAUCAGUAACAUAGUGAGACUAAAUUGGAAGAUGAGAACAAGCCAUGAUCAGUUGCUUGCAUGAGAUCACUUAUGAACAAAAGCUAUAUCAUCAGUCUCCAUUCCAAAGUCACUGCCAAGUAAGUUGUAAAGAAAAGCAAUUGUGUGACAAUACAAUACCAAAUGUCUUGUAUUGUAGCUAAAUUUAGUGGAAACCCCGGAAAUCAUUCUCAUCCACAAAUACAUCUCGUGUGUGGUUUCUAUCAGCUAAAAAAUUUAUUUAUGCAAUCCUUAUUGGUGUUGUCUUCUGCCAAAUAUUAGCUACGUCGGAUGAUCGAUUAUCCCAAUAACUCAAACUGUUAUGAAAGACUUAUCGUCGACAAGGAAAAAAAAUGGCCAAGGCCAUUUUUUUUUUUUUUUUUAUCUUGUAAACUCUUCAAUUUUCAUCUCAUAAUUCAAGUAUGAGACUUUUAAAUUGGAGUCUUAACUCCAACAUAACUUUAUAAUAGGAAGAAUUAAAAGCCUAAAAAUCAUCAUGUCCCAUACACUCCACCAUUUAACUAUUACAAGAAAAUUGGCCAAUAGAAAACUAUAUUAUUAAAAGAAAUUUUCAAUUUUUUUUUUAAGAAGGUCAUGGAUUGUUCCUCCAAUUUUUAUCCGAAUGUAAUUUCCUCAAUCGAACUUAAAAAAUAUAUAUAUAUUUUACAUUUUAAUUUAGUGUAUUCAAAAUUUUAUUCUCGAAAUAAUCUCACAAAAAUCAAAAUCUAAUUGAAAUUUUUUUUUUCAAUCCUUCCCAACCAAACUAAUUAAUGUGAUUAAAAAACUAACUAUUUGAAGAGAGAGAGAUUGUAUCCACUUUCAAUGGAGUACUUUGGCAUUAGAGCCUCAUAGAAGCUCUCAAGUAGUUCAAUUUUCUGGUAAGAUAUUAUAUUCAACCUUUUUCAUUGAUGGUAUGCUAACUUUCCAAACAGAAAUGCAAAUGGAUUUCAAUUGUUGAUUAUAUUUGUUGGUAACGGUAUCAAACUGAUUUUUGCUUUUUCCACUUUUGGAUGCAUAUUUAUAGAGUACCCUUAUCCUAAAAUUAAUGAAUUAAAGGGAAUGAACAUAUUAAUUAGUUAUAAACAUUACCAAACAAUUAAAAUACUAAUUAGAGUUGGUAAAAAAAAAGAAGAAGAAUUUAAUAGAAAAUUAGGUUGCAACAGCAGAAGUUUGAUGAGUCAUUUUGACCUAACUGUGACCAACAUCCAAGUUUUCAACUAAUUCAAAUCAUGAAAGAAGAGAAUAUCAAUUAAUUAUGUUACACAAGUGACUUGGGUUUUUUUGGUUACUUUUUCCAGAAGCCACAUUGCUAAUUACGACAUUAUUUAAUUGAAAAAAAUUAUGACACUUGACAUGUACCACCAUAUAAUUGAAAGAAUUUCUAUGGAUGAUCUAGUAAUUAAUUAUUAUGCUAGUGUCAUUAUGUAAUUGAUCGAAAGCCAUGUCAUCCACCUUGUCUAACAAUACACGAAAGAAUAAUAUAUAAAUCACCAGUGGCGGAGCCACGUUAGAACUUGAGGGGCCAUGGCUCCUCCAACAUUUCUCAAUCCCUCAAAUACGUAUAUAAUAUUUAUAGUUGUAAUUUCAAAAAUAAAAAUUUUAAGAUAAAAAAUUUAAAUCUUCAAUUUUUAUUAAUUUGAUUCCUCUUAAUUUAAAAUUCUAAAUCCGUCACUGUAUAUCACAUUAUACAUUUUAAAAAAUAAAAAUAUUAUAUUAAAAUUUUUCAUAAAAUAUAUAUGAAAAAAAUGACAUUAACUUUAUUUUUUAGUACAAUUACAAAGACCUAUAAGAUUAAUUUCACUAUUUAAACAAAGAUACAAAUUUUUUUUUUGGUUACAUUAAAAAGGCAAAACUUUAGUAUAAGAAAAAGUAAAAAAAAAAAAAUUCGAAAUCAAACUUUUAAUAUCUUUUUAAGUGACUUUAACCAUUAAAUCAUAGAUUUGGGGAUACACUUGGAGACACGAGAAUACAAAUUUUUGAAACCUAAUUGGAAGAAAACAAAUAUAUAUGUAUAAAAUUUUCAAAUGAUAAAUGCAUAUAUUUCAUGCUUAAACAAAUUAGGUUUGAAUCUUUUCUUUACAAUAAAAAUUUAGAACAUAGAAAAACCAAAGGCAAAUUUCGUCUGGACAUAAAAAUUUUUUGUCUAGCAAUAUUGUUAACACCAUUUCUCGAAUAUGGGGGCCCAAACCCUGUUUGGUUCCAUCAAUAUAUAUAAUACAAUUAGACUAGCUGUAGUGUGAAGUAACCCAUUCCUUGUCGAUUUAGGAAGUUGCAUGUUAGGAAUUCAAUCAUCCAUCUCUUGAAUUAUUUUCUGUUUGCCUAUUACCAUACUAUCAUUUAAAAAAAAUUUUGAGACUCUAAAUUUAUUUGGUUGGUCUGAAUCAAACCUGAAAUAAAUCAUUUAAAAGAUCAAUUAAAUUUGGUACAAUUCAACUCAUGAACAAAUCUACUUAAAGAUGAUAAAAGAAAAAGCAUGUAACAACAAAAUAAGACAUUUUUUUUUCCCUCAAAUGAAUGAUGAGGACAAUUCUACAAAUUGGCCCGCUAUGUAAACAACUAAAAAUGCAUAGAAUUGAUUCAAGACAUGGACGGGGAAAGCGAAGCAGAUAUGCAACUACUAAAUCUCUUUCUUGACAAGGAAAUUUGGGAAAGCAAUUGAUGGUUCAAAGACCGAAUCUUUCAUCCCACACCACAUUAUUGAAUUUCAGGUCGUCGACAGCGAAGUAUCAUGAUUUCCUAAGACAGAAAAAACAAACAAGUUGCAAUAUGACCCGGGUCCAGGAUGUAGGAGACAGGAACUUCCACCUUAGCUUCAAAGUGAAAACAACUAGGAAUUCUCACUUUCACUUGCUUAGAAGCAAAAGCAUUGAUCUAUUACAUCAAUCAAAGUUUUAAAACAAGGCCAAGAAUAAGACAUUUCCAUUAACCUUAGGACUAUCUGUUGGAGACAAGGACAUCUAAUCUAUUUUACCACUUCAUUAAGUAUGAAAUGAUGAUCUUCAUUGAUUUAAUUCAAGAAUGAUACAAGUAAACUCUUGUUUUCAUACUGUUUGCCCUGGUUGCUGAAACUUAGGAACAAUUAUGGGGUGCAAAGAUAAGGGCAUGAAGUCAUGUUCACUCACCUUUUGUUCCCUCGAUUCAAAUAGGAGAAGAUGAAAUAUGAAGAAAAUAAAAUGACAUGAAGUUCAGCUCCAUCCAGAUCCUUAGGCCUUUAGCCAUUAUAUUGAUAGAUCAGCAAAUAUGUUUUGUGCAACAAAGAAAAACAUGCUACCUUCCAAGUAGUAUUGUAAAAUGCAACAAAGUACCGGAUAUAGUUCGCUAAAAUUUCUCUUUAAGGGCAAGAUCACAAGUAAAAGGAAAUGAUGCCCCAAAAUAUAGGGGCAUAUAUUCAUAGGUGAAUAAAGUCAGAACCUUGAGGUGAAAGGGGGGGGGGGGGGAUUUUGUUUUCCCUCUGUUUACUUUUGAAUUAUAAACAGACAAGUCCUUGAGCAGAUGAAUAUCUGCAUAUAUCUCUUGUUUUAGUAAUGGUAAAUGAAGAAUUUUUUUUUUUGGGCCAGUAAAAGAAGAAUUUCAAUCCUAUACUAUUUACCCGACUUUGGACAUGAUAUUAGACUGCUGAAAAUACAAAACAUGGGAGGUAUACAUAUCUUGUUCAGUGCUUUGAAGGCAAAGGAGUGAUGGAAUGCCUUCAGCUUCAAAAAUAAAGUCAUCAAACAUUGAAACGAAGCGGUAUUACAUCUCCUUGUACUACGUAAUCUUUACCCUCAGAUCUCAGCUGCAGAAAGUUUAAAUAUUACAGAGAGAGAGAGAGAGACAGAUACAGAGAAAUAAUAUAGCUGAAUGUUGUAAAGAGACAGCUGCAAUAUGUAGGAAAUAAAAGGAUAAUGAGGGAAAAUAUGAAAAAAAAGAAGGUAGAAGUUGACAAUUUUGAGCAUACAAUGGAUUAAUUGGAAGUGAGAGUAAAGGAAAAAUAUAAAUUGAGACAAGUACAGAGUGAAGAGGCAGUGAUUAAGGGAGGAGUGUAGCAACCUACUCAUUGCAACUAGGCACUCAUUCUUCACAGACUAGAUGCUAAGGCUGCGGCCUUAGCUUGUACAGCCUAAGUUUUUAACCUAGAAAAAAACAAGCAUAUUACUCAAUAGAAAACUAAAAGAGCAAUGGCACAUGGAAAUGAUGUCCCUACUUUCCCCUCGAAUUCAAGGUUAAUGUCUCCACUCCAAACCAAUUUUUGAAGUAGGUUUUGCUGGAAGGGGGAAUAGGAGAACUUAGGAAGAGUUUCACCAUUUGAAGAAAAAUAAAUGAAUGCAAAACAAUUUUCCUUUUCUGAUUGCAUAAGUAAAACUUAUGCAAGGUAUUGAGCAUGUACCAUUCAAGAAAUUUAUUAUGUAAAAGACCUUAUAGGCUAGUAGCAAUGAAGCAACUUACAAGUCCUUUUUCCCUUGCUGCUGCUAGUGAACCAACGGCAACAAAAUUAUCAUAGGAUACCUAUUAAGAACAAGACAUCUGUUUAUAAACAGGUGGCAACGAAAAAAAGCCUAUAUUUCAUACUCACGAUCAAUGAUUCCACAUAUAUAAUCUCCUAUAGAUGCAUGUGAAUAUGCUUUUCAAAAGUAUCACCAAACCUUUGCAGAAAUUGUUACAAUUCCUUAGGAUGCAAGAUUCACUGCUUCAUUAACAUGGGGAUUAUUUACAGGCUCAGUGAGAUCAGAUUCUGCAACAUUGGCCACAUAUAUGAUUGGUUUCAUUGGCCACAUAUAUGAUUGGUUUCAUUGUCAACAAGCAAAGAUGUUUCACAGCACCCUUCUCAAAGUCAUUAAUGCAACUGAUUGUGCCGGUUUUCCAUCCAUAAGUGCCUGCUGAAUCCUUUCCAAGGCAUAAUUUUCUGCUUCCUCCUAAAAUAAUAUAACUUUAAGAGAGUCAAUGCUAAGACCAACAAAAACCACUUUGGAGUAUAGAAUAGACAGAAUGACAGGCAAUGACAAGAGGCUCCUUUCAGUAAAAACGGAAGGGGAAAAAUAAUUUCAACUUAAGUGUAGAUUGUGAAUCCUUCGCCUUCUCCUUUUUAAGCUUUUCCAAUCUUUUCUCAAUCUGUAUUUCUUACAAAAGAAACAAUUACUUUCAUAUGCUUAUUUUGGUUUAGGCUGCCACAGGAAUGCACUAAGGCCAUGAAGGAGUUCAUAAGGGAGCAUUCAAGAAAAUAUAUUUAAGGUUUAAAGCUUAACCGAGAAAGAAAUAUUCAAGCAAAUUUAUUGGAGGGUUAGUGUGUGACUAAAACAUAACACAUGACCAGCGAAUUAUUAAUUUGAAACCAUAGAUAACUAUGUGUAAACAAAUAUAUCUGCAUAGUAAGAAGCACAAGCAUGGACAAGGUUAUCAGAUGCUAAAAAACAGAACACUGACAUGGAAUGUGUACAUGCAUAUUAAAGGAAGCAAUAUACAAUGGCUAUGCCAACACUUACCGGUGUAGAUCCACAUUAUUCAAAACAAAAAGCUAAGGCAUAAGGGUUUCAUAAGUAUAAAACAGAUGCUUUCAUAUCAUGUUAAAAAGGUAAUAUCUUGGUCCAAACACCUCAGGCCCAAUUUCUUUUCAAGUUAACACCAAACGAGCUCACAAGAUUAAGCUUAAGUUGCUAAAAGUGAGUGCUUAAACCCUUAUGUGUAGUUCAACAAUCACACUCCUAUAUAUUCCUUACCAUCCCUGCCCUUUUCCUUAAUGUCCUCAUCAGAUUUCAGUACCACAUAUCACAGUCAGAAUUGAUACUCAUAGGAGCAAAAUCACACAAUGUGACGAUGUGAACCACAUUGAAUAGGCAUAUGCUUUGAUUCCAAUGGUAAUAUCCUCAGCAGGUGGGCACAAGCACCACUAACCCAACAUCUUUUCAGCCCUAAACCACAUCCACUUGACCUUGAAAGCUUAACUCAAGUUGUUAAGAAUGACUUAAACCCCUUAUGGCUUUCAACAAUCACACACCUAUUCGAUAUAGGAUGAUCUAUUACAAAAAGAAAUACAGUCUCCUAAAACUUUAGACCAAGUAACCACCAAAGAGCAUAGUAUAGUAACAAAUUUCAAAACUCUAUUUAAAAAAAUUGGAGUUGGUUAGAUCCCUUUCCAAAAAUGACCUUUCAAGCUUUGAACAUGUUCAAAGAGUGCUAUGAUGCAUCUUCCUGAAUGGGAGAAAUAUAGUUGACAUAUGGUGCAGCCCAUUAAGUAAAUACAAUACUCUGCUUUAGAGGUAUUGAACACAACAUGUAAGCAAAACGUGUAUGCAACUUUCUGUUUUGUAAUAUUACAUAUCAACCAAAAUCUCCAAUGAAUCCCAAAUUAUUUGGAACUAGAACCAGCUUCUUCUUUCCAUUUGUACAAUUUACUUAAAUGUUGUUAGUAGCCUUACCAAUCAUGUUCAUUGUGAAAAGUUUACUUCUACAAGCAACAGCUUUCAGACAAAAUUGAGAGUCUACAGAACUUUGAUAAGCGCAUCAAAUUUUGACACCUUAGUUCAGAACUCUACCCUACAUAUAAUGAUCUUUUUACUCAUUAAAACCUGAGUUCUUUCCCAAUGGGCGGAAACUGAUGGAUUGCAAAUUGCGUAGAAUUCUAGAAUCAUUUUAACAACUUAUCACCUAUUAGAAUUCUCAAAUGAACAUUUUACUAAUAAUCAUGAUAAAUUAGUCAGAACUUAAUUCUUCUAAGAAGAAAACAAACUUUGCACUCUCGAAGCAUCUUCAAUGUUCCUAUCCUGAGAACCUAUCAAUAGUAUUCUUGGUACCUUUUGAAUUAGCAAUACAAACAAUAUUUCCCACCUCUGUAUGACCCUAAACUUAAGGUUAAUCCUCAAUUUGGGAUCAAAGUUUACCUGUCCAAGGAGAUGAAUUCUCCUGCAUUUAACCUAAGUUUCCUCUCUAUUUCCAUCAUAUAUCCUCCUCAAAAACUACCUAUUUUUCCCAGUUUUCUCAGCUGCAUCAACAUGACCAUUUGUUUGCUAAGAAACUAAAUACGAAGCCAAGCUACUUUAAACUUUUAAGCAUCCCCUGUUGCCUUAAACAGACUCUUAAGUAGCACUUGAGAAGAAUUUGAAAGACUUAGUGGAUAUGAUAAGUUGGUUUAUAUUUGAUCAGGUCAAAGUUUUGUGAUGGAAAUAUUUUGGACUAUUUGGGUUCUUGGACAGUGUUAAACUUGUUCAAAUCUUUUUACACUUUUGGCUUCUUUUAAAAAUUACAUUUAACCAUGUCCCCUGUACAGUGACAAACUAUCCAGACCAAACAAGUCAUAAACAGAAUAAAUAUUCUAUCAUAGAGUUUACUUUAUGCUGACCCUGAGUUCAUUACAAGAUCUAAACUAUAUAAAAUCUUUUAUUCUUGACAGACAAAAAACUAUUCAAGCAUUUUAUCCAUAUUACAAUUGAAUUUACUCCAACCUUUAAUAUGUCACUAGAUCUUUUGAAAAUUGAAUAUUCUAGUUUUUAGUUUCAGAUUCUGAAAACUGAAAAGACCUAACGAUUAGCUAAGAAUUUAAUUCCAAAAAGAUCUAGUCCUUUAUGACUGCUUAAAGCAUCGAAUAAUUUGUAGAAAUCUAACAAGACUAAUGUAAUAACCUUUUGAAAGAACCCUUAAUGGAAAUGAUACUACAAGUAAAUAAUUAACUAACCAACUCAGAAUGCUACUUUAUUUUGUCAACCAAAACAAAAGUUCUGGAAUUUGUAAGUUACAGAAAGGCAAGCUCAAUUUUAAUUCCAAAAUUGCUCAAAUUCUCUGAAGAUGAUAUAAUCUAACAGAUCUAGAAGACUGCUAGCUAAUCAAACACAAGCCUGAUUAUAGAUUCUCACUUCCAAAAACACCUGAAGUAGUAAUUUGAUUCACAUUGCUGAAUAGGCCAUUAAACAAGGGGAUCUCAGACAAAUAAAUUAAUUGGGAAAAAAAUAGAUCCACCCUUAGUUGCUAAAAGGGGCACAACUUUUGCAAGCAUAGAUCUCUUUGGAUCAAUACCAGCCAAGUGUAAGAGAGAAUAUUAAAACCUUUUAAAAAUUUCUGUUAACAUGUAAAUUAGGCACCACACGACCAACAUGGUUAGAAUGGACAUUAUAUGAGUAUGAGAUGUUUUAGAUGCACUCACAUGAUGACAUGUUCCAAACUAUUAAAUAAGCAUCAGCACCUUUCCAAGAAAGAUGCUGAAGCUGAAUUAAGCUCCAUUGAGCACACGACAUACCUGAUCUAAAUCUGAGAAAACUAGUUUCAAAUUGAUAACAUCAAUAUCUGUCUUAGGAUCAACUUUUCCAUUCACAAGAACAAUGUCAUUGUCUUCAAAACUGCAUACAACCUGAAAUAAUAAUGAAAUCAGCACUUGAUUUCAAAAAAUUGAAAGCUAAUGAUUAUUUCACCAAGCUUUUCAUUAGUAAAUGAUAUGCAUAAAAUUCAAGAAUGUCUCCAAAGAAUACUUUCAGAUUCAAUUAAAAAAAUAAAAACUGUUCAGAGAUAGAGAUGUUUAGCUGGGUUCUUUAAUUUUCAAUUUUAUGAGUAGUUGUCCCGUACAAGGAUAAAGGAAAAACUUGAGUCAUAGCGAGUUUCUUUAAACUUUAAAGUUUAAACAACUAGAAUAUUGGAAAAAUGACUCAACAAUUAACAUAAGCCCUUGCCCUGAGAUCAAAAAGACCUCUCUGUCUGCUUUACCCCUAAAAAUUAAGCAUUCAAAAAAAGAUAGAACUCACAUAUUUCAAGGGGAAACUACUGUAUUUAUACUUGAAAAGAUACAGACUUCUUCUUAUUACUUGAAUUUUUUUUUUCUCAUAAAGAUGCUGAGUUAAAAAGCAAUGAAAGGAAAAAGAAAAGAAAAAAAAACACAUAACACAAAAGGCAGUACUAGUUUGAAGUUCCAAUUAAGAUAAUUUGAAGGAAAUUGUCCGUGUAAAGGUUUUACGUAUCCUGAGCAUUAAAAAUAUACUCAUUCAGACAGAGCUAAGUGUUAAAAAGGCACCCAUUAAAUAUAACUAUAGAUGACCAUAAACCAUACAGAGAAAAUUAAUGUUGUAAGCGAUGCACAGAGCAUAGUAUGCAUUUGACCGCUAGUUUAAGCUACUCUCUAGAAAGAUUAUAUAUAAUGAAAGCCAUUUAAUUUUAGUUUGCAAAAUGAUGUUCGAACUAGUAUAUAUGUCUUUAGCAGUUUAUCCUGUAUUUUCUACUUCAUUUGAAUGAUGCAGUCACCAACUUAAAGACAUAUGAGAAAAGAAAUCGGUUGUGCACAUGCAGAAAAGAACAUGGGUGAGUGGUGAAUAAGGAAAGAGAAGAACCUGAAGAAUGGAGUCCACCUGCCGAAUAUGCCAUAAGAAUUUAUUUCCUAAUCCCUGCAAAACAAUGACAUAGAUAAGAAAUUAAGGAACCAAUUGCAAGCCUGCCAGGGAUUAAAUCCUGGUCUGGAGCUAAUAAUCCAACUCUCUAUCAACAAUCUACCAUUGUUGGCUUCAAAAACAAUACUAUUUGCUUUCAUAUCCGUAUGGACUUGAUUGUUUUGGAAAAAAAAAAAAGCCCAAAUAACAAUGAAAACAAAUAUUAUGAGAAGUAUUACCUCCCCUUGACUGGCACCUUUAACGAGACCAGCAAUGUCAACAAACUCAAUAGAAGCAGGGACAGCUCUUUUGAGACUUGCCGAGUUCAGAAAGAACAAGGAGUCAAGGAUCUGGAACCGCAACAAUCCCAACAUUUGGUUCUAUUGUACAAAACGGAAAAUUAGCAGCCUGUGCCUUCCCAUUCUCAACCUAUAUGUUUCAUUUAAAGUUAACAAUUCAGUCAUAAAAUAUUCUCUUAUUUUUUCUAAGACAACAAAAAAAAAAUAGGAAGAAAACCCAAAGUUGGAAAUUAAAACUUACAACAGCAUUGAAGAAAGUUGAUUUACCAACGUUAGGGAGACCAACAAUGCCCGGCUCUAACGCUCAUGCUUGUUCUAAAAGAAGAAGAUUAUAAUUUGUUUUCGUCCCAUUGAAUAUAUAGUUAUAUAUUUUACAAAUGAAUAAAAUUAAUAAAGAGCAUAUUAAAGAAAAUUUGCAUUAACGUAUAAAGUUUGUAUGAUGUUCAAAUUUUAUCAAAUUAAUUUAAAGCUUAUUAUUUUUAUAAUUAAUGUAAAAUUAAAAUUAUUAUGAAGAUAAAGCAAUUUAGUGUAAACUUUAAUUCUUUUUUAUUUAUUUAUCAGUUUAGUGAAACAGAGAAAAGAUACGAAGCAUUACUAGUUCAGCCCUCCCACUGAACCAGGAAUUUGGGACAAGCAGUGCAGUUCUGUUGGUGUCGAUUUAAUACUAAGAUAUCAAAAAAUGAAAUGGAGGAGAAUUAUAACUCUGAUAAAAGAUAAAUAGCACAUGGGAAUUUAUGGAGAGACAGCAUGAGUAUACUGCUAAUAUAAAAGCCAGAUCUACUGCCAUAUUAAGACUUAAAAGAAAAGAAAGAACGAGUGGGUACAAUUUUUACGCUACCAUCAGCUUCUAUUUUAAGAUCAAUCACGGUUACUAGUUGUCAAAAAGAAUACAGCAUCAAGAACAAUAUGCAAUAGGUUCCAAAAAUAUUAUAUCAAUUUGCAUAGUUCUCUCAUCUUCUUCGAUUUUCCUGGUAAUCUUCAUCACUUUCUUUAUCGUUUAAGAAGCCUAGAAAUGCAAGAAAUCCAAAAAGGAAGAAUCCACCAGACCAGUUGCCACCACCGCCUCCCCCGCCACCUCCACCACCAUCAUCAUCACGGGGAGGAAAUCCAGAGUCACCAUCAUCUAGUUGUGGUGAUUUCUCCUUGUCUGCAUUUCAAUAAACCAAAAUAAGUCAUUUAAAUGACACAUUUUCUCAUAAACGUACAUGGAGUUUAACUAAAAAAAAAAGAACAGUUGGAAUAUGCGGACUUGAAGCAAGCAGGUUAUAUCCCACCUCAGGCAUGGGAGUUCCACAGGGCCAGGGUUCUAUCCCUAGCUCCCGCAAGUUCAGGCAUUUAUCACCUAUAUACCAUAGCAGGAAAAUAGUACACCAAAAACAUAGAUAAAAAUAACAUAAAAUUGCAUGGAACUCAAAGUGAAAACAUGGAUAACGCCAGGACAUCAUUAAAUAUAGUACAUUUAUCACACUAAUAAGAUUUAGCUAAAAACCAGGGCCGAUACGGUAACUUGAUACAACAAAAAAAAAGGUACAUUGUUUAAUGCUUCUAGCCAACAGGCAGCAUCUGGAUUCUAACAUGUGCCAAAACAAACAAUAAUCAUCCUACCAAUGCAGAGGAGCAUAACAGUGCAAGAAAGUACACAGGAUGGCUAAGUUUCCAAAAUAGUAUGAGAAUUAUGCAUGCCUAUCACCAUGUCUUCAGCUAUUCUAAUGAAAUCAACUAGCCCUCCAUAACCUUCCUAACCACCAUUCAACCUAAGGGUGGUGGCUAAAGGUUCAACUAGAAAAAACACAAAAAUGAUUAUAUCUAACCAAUUUUGUCAAACUAUUGAAAGUUUUUAUGUUUGUUAUUACCAUGGACAGGAGCUUGGGUUAUUGUUGGUGCCUCACGAGUAAUGGUUUGAGUUUGGCCCGAUGCACUGCAAGUUGCAUUCUGCAGGAAAAAGAAAUCAGGUCACAAACUCAGAAUACCAACAUCAACAAAACAUCUACAUUUAGCAUGUGUAAAAUGAAACACAAACACAUAAGCAUAUGUGCACACAAGUUUAGACCUUUUUCACUACAUUUAUUUCUGGAUUUAAUCCUGUUUAUGCUAGUAGAUGAACAUAUACAUAAAGAGUUUUCAAUUAAUAUUGAUAAAAGACAAUUAACAUUCUCUCAGUAAUAUUCUUUGUUCAAUGUUAACCACACUAAAGGAAAUCAAAAUACUUUUCUCUGCACAAAAAAAUUUCAAAUUUUUAAUAAACUAGCAAGAAGGAAGAAAAGUAAGCAAUUAUUAACAGUGACAAACUUACCAAAGCAGCAGCAGCACAUAUAACAGAUAAAGAUUGCUUUCUACUUCUUCCAACAAUUGGUUGUGAUUGUAAGCUAAGGCCUAUUGUCUUGAUUCGCGUAGAAAUCCUGACCGUAGCACCACAGGUACUGCCCUUAGUUCGUGACUUCAAUUGACUUCCUGGUGAAAACCAUGACAAAUAUCAUCAUAAAACAAACACAACAAUAUGAAUAAUAAAAAGUAAAUCCCAAGAAAAAUAGCUGGACUCAAAGCAUACCAGGAGAUAAUAGAGGCGGCAAGGGGGCAAUAACACUAGCAGUCAGCAUUUGCAAAUAACAAAAAGGCAAUUUGAAUAAGAACAAAACCUGAAAACAUAAUCAAAGCUUGCAUUAUUAAAUUAUAUGGAAAUUUUUAAGAUUCAAAGGUAUUAAAUCCCAUCAAAUUAUUCGUUUCCUAAUCAAAACAAAUAGCCAUACAUGGAUUGCAGUUAAAAUCCUAUCGGCUAAACCACCGCAGAAAAAUCUAUUAAUAGCAGAAAAUGAACAAAAAAAAUCCAGUUCUCGACAACAAAAAACAAUCUCAAAAGCAUAAUCGGAAUUGCCAAACCGACUUAAUUUAUAAAUUAAGUCCACUGAAUUAAUUAUAGAAAUUAUAGAAAAUAAUAAUUAGAUAUUGGAAAAGAAAAUUGAAACCUGAAAUCGAAGCAGGAGGAUACGAGAAACCCAAGAAGAAAAAGACGUUGCCAACUUUAAGGAAGAUUGAAGAACGAGGGCAAAAUGAUAACUAGAAACUCGAAGAUGACGAAGAAGAGGGGAUAUACCCAGAUAUUAAAAAAAUUAAAAAAAAAAAAAGAAACGCAAAAUUUGGUUAUGAUUAUUUUCUAUUUGGGCCUCUAAAUUUUUGGGCUUUCUUCUUUUUAUAGCCUAAUACAUAAAUUUUAUAAAUCUAAUAAUUUUCGAUUUGGAAAAUAAAUAAUUUUUGUAUUUGAUAUGUAUCUAAUAUUAAACUAACAUAACAUGAAUACAUUAAUAAUAAAAUAAUUUAUAAUAAAAAUUAAAAUUAAAUUUAUGAUUAUAUUACGGGCCAAUAUUAAUUUUAUUAUUUUAUUUUAAUUAAUUUUUUUAUAUUUAAGUGGAUAAAAAAAAGAUAUUAUUAAUAGUCGCAGUAUAUAAUAUAAUUGUGAAAGAUCCCAAUCCUUUUAAGAUAGGGAACCUUUCUUUCCCAUUUUGCGUUAUAAAGGCCACAAAAAUCCAAAGCCAGGCCGAAAAGCUUAACAAAAUAAAAAUUAAAAAAAAUUAUUAUUUUUCACUUUUUUUUUCCUGUCUCAAACUAUUAUUAUUAUUAUUGGCCAAAAAAUAUAAUUUUUAUUAUUAUAAUUAGAAAACAAUAAUAAAUAAAUCAAUAACUAAAUAUAAAAUAAUUAACCUCCUCGUUAUCUCGUUUUUAGCGUUCCUCUUCUCUCUUCUAUUUGUCUCAACAAUUUUGACUUGAGAAAAAAAAAAUUCAAAAAAUACCUUAACCAUUAAAUAAGACUGUACAGAUCUUCUGUACACCAAACCCUAUUUCAUUGCAAAGGGCUUUUGCUUAUUAAACCUUUUUUUUUUCUAUCUCCUAAUUCCUUUCUUCUUUUCAUUAUUUUUUUAGAGAUCAGAUUUUGGAUUUUUAAAGAAACCAUCAGAUUGAAGAGUCAGUUAAUUAUUAGGGUUUUUGUUCCGGCUUUUCGAUAUUGAGUGGUAAUUUUGAAGUGUAGAUAAAAUGGAUGCUUCUGAGGAUCUUAAACAAUUUGGCGAUGCGUCUACAGGUUUGAUGUUCGAUUCUUUUUGCUUCAAUUUCCUCAAUUUAUUCUUUUUUGGCGUAAAAUUAGCUUUGGGUUUGUCUUUGUAGUUUGAUUUAAGCUUAAAUUUUAGAUUGAGUAAACAUUUAAUUGUUUAUGGUCAAGAAGUUAGUGUUAAGUUGAUUGUGGAGUCAAAUGCGUAACAAAUUACAAGAAAAUGAAAAUUAGAUCCAGAAAUAUUGAGUUUUCGAUUCUAAGGUUUGGGUUUUGUUGCAAAAGAAAUUGUGAAUAAUACUAUUUGAUUCAGUUCCAAGUCAAAUGUCGUUGUUUUGAGAUGUGAACAAUUUCUAGUUUUGGAUUGUUUCUUCAUUUCGUAGUGUUAUGGGAAUUUUCCAGUAUUGGAAUUAUAAAGUUUGAAUUUGGGUGCUAACACAUUUCAGCUUAAUGGUUUAAAUGUGCUUUUGUUUCGGUUGUGUUGAAUUUGAUUUCAAAUUUUUUUAGUGAUUGAAAUAGUCACAAUUUAUUUGAAUUAUGGUCGGAUUGGAGAAAAUGGUAUUGGUAUAUAUUGAGACAUACCGGGCUUUUGCUUCACAAAGGGUGUCAACUUGCUCCCAUCUACAUUACCCCAUCCCAUGCCCAUUGCCAAGGAUUAAACUUGAGACUUCCAAGUUGCAGUCUCAAGAUGUAACUAUUGUGGUAUCCCCUUGGUUAUACAGUACAAGUGGCUGUUGUGGCAGCACAUGGUGGAUUAGAUAGUCACUUGAUAGCUAAAGAAAAAAGGAAGAACCCUUGUUUUUUUUUUUUUUUUUGCAUAAUUGCGUAUGUACUUUGUUUUCUGAUGAAAAGGCUGGAUUAAUGUAUGUUUCAGUUGUCUUUCAUGUUUCAAUUUGUUUUUCCUGAACAUGCAUUGCUACUGAGUUUUAGUGGUAUGAUCUUUUCCUUAUGUUGUGAGUUUUUUUUUUUUUUUGUUGAAGAGUGCAUUUUUAGUAAAAUUAACUUUUCUAUGAUGCAGGAUGUGCAGUAUUUGAUGCGUCACAAUAUGCAUUUUUUGGAAAAGAUUUUCUUGAGGAAGUUGAAUUGGGGGGAUUAGAUGAUGAUGAUGAUGAUGAGGAGGAGGAGGAGGAGGAUUUACCCACAGUUGGACUUGAUGAGGAGGAGUUUUUGUUUGAUCGAGAGGAAGUUAAUAUUCUUGUUUCUUUUCAGUUUUGUUUUUCUUGUUUCAAUUGUUCUUGCAAAUUUAUACAGUGUAGGACAAAAGCAAUGACUAUUCGUUGAAAAAAUAAAUCACUCUUUUCCAAACAUCAUGCUUAAAAAUAGCCUUAUGGAGUAAUGCUGGAUGCUUUUUCCCCCUGUUUUCUUGAACAGAUAGAUGCCACCGCAUUUAAGUAGUGUUUUUCAUCCUAUUUUUUUUAUGGAGUAAAACUCUGUGGGAGCUCAUAUUAUAUAUUAUUCUAUUUGCCCAUGCAAGACACUGUAAACCUCGUUCUCUAUAUUUAUAAGUUGAUAUCAUAGCCAUCGUGUUUGGGAUGUUUUUGUGUUUUGGUAUUCACAAUGAUAUGUAGCUCUUGUAUACCUUCUUUAAGAAAAUUAUAUUGUAUAAGCUCUUGUGCAGUGGUCCAGUGGCAUAGUAUCCUGUCAAUAAAUUUGUAUUCCACAUUUGAAUAUAUUUUGGGGAUUGUGUUACUUGUUCUUUGGUGCUUCUUGAAGGUUUGUUGUUUCGCAUAUGCUUCCUGAAGCAAGUAUAUUGGGAAGGUAGUUUAUGGAGUUUUUUUUUUCCAAGUAUUUAUCAUGUGUCUUGAUUUAUCUUUUCCUUUUAUUGAGGAAAGAACUGGAAUUGGAUGAGUUCCCUUACACCUUCCUUCACACUCAAAUUCUUUCCAUAACACCUCUUUCCUCAGAGUGAUAAGGAUUUUUGAGUUUACAACUUCUAGUGGUGUACGAAGCCUUCGCGAUGGAAUCAAGUUUAUGGGGUACUUUAUACCCUUCAUGCAAAAGUUUUAGGUGACAACUCAUUCCCAAUUUCUCGAUACAGAAGACUGCCCUUUUGCCUGGGGUGGUUUCUCCCCCUCAUUUCAGUUUCUUUGGUUGUUGAGUCUUGAGGCAGUUUUAUUCACUAGUGGCUUUCUUUUGAGGUGUUGCUUCUGUAUAUCUUUUUAGAAAAUGAAUCUGUCUCUGAUAUUCACACAAAUUUGACUGGUUAUGCCAAUGGAUUUUAAAAGUUAGAUUAAUUAUGGGUGUCAAAAAUUUAGUCUUCUCAUAUGUCUCUGGAAGGAGAUGUGGUUUACAGAUAAAUUAAUGGAGUUAAUUGUGGAAAUUUGUUUGAAUCAAUUUUGAAUUGUUUUCUAAUAAACUUUUUAGCAUGUUCUAUUUCUGUUGGAGUAGCUAAAGUCUGAUGAGACAUGUGUCACUAGCAAAUGGAAAUCCAAAAAGAGAGGAAAUCAAUCCCUUCCCCUCUUUCUCUUGGUGUAAUUGUGAACUUCAAAUGGUUGCUAAUAUGGUUAAAAUUUCAUGUUUUAAUCAAGAAUUUUCAUCACACUAGGUGUUUCUUUUGGCACAUCAGACUAACUAAUCUUCAAGAUUAUUCAUUUCAUAGUUGAUUUUAGUAGAAUAUUCAUGUGCUAGGUGCUUCAUCUAAUUUCUCUUCAUAUGUGCAGGGUGAAGUUUUGAGAUCCUUAUCAGACAUUGAUGAUCUUGCUAGUACAUUUUCAAAGGUUAGUCCACUCCAUAAUUACUGUAUUUUGCAACUAGUGAGAUAAUCAAAGAUCUUUUCCCCUCCUAAGGAUUAGCUUCUAAUUUUAACUAAUUCAUUUUCAUCUCAUAUUUUCAUGGGCCUAAAACAAUUUAAUCCUUGCAACUAUUCUAAAAGUGGAUCUGCGGAGAGUUCAGUCAUGCAGAAGUUGGUGCAAAUGCCCCUGGAACCACAUUUACUGUUAGCUGUAGACCUUAUUCCAAUACUGAGUGAAUUAGUGGGAUGAAAUCUCAUUAUCUCACCAAACGAAUCCCUUACUUUUGAGCGAUUAUCUGUCUGGUCUCUUAAGAUACACAAGAAAUGUUUUACCAAGCCCUUUCCAAACUUUUCUGACAGUGCUCUAAGAAGAUUGAUCCCCCAAACCUUUAUUGUAGCUCUGUCAAUUAAGGGCACUUGUAUUAAGUUACUUUUAGAUUGAACCUUAACUUUGCUUGAUAUUUGGCUUAAUUUUCAUAUAAUUCAUCAGAAAAGAUAAUUUCCUUUUAAAUUAUAUCUUCUUGUUUUUUAGUGCCUAGAUCAAAUCUUUGGGCUAUAAAAAAGCCAUAAAGGAUAAAGUUCCUACCUUUUUUCCUUAAUAUUUCUUAAAAUCAUAAUUCACCAGGCAUGUACUGGAGAUGCAUGUUUCUUGGCGGUUAGCUCUGGUUUAGCAUUGGUGAUUGAGUGUUUGCUGAUGGUAGCUAGUCAUCUUGUUGCAGUUGAACACAGCUGUUAGUGGACCAAGAGGCUCGGGGAUAAUUGGUGAUAGGGGAUCCCAAGAAAGUGAGUUUAUUUAUCUCAUUACUUUCAUCUAUCAGUCAAUUGGUGAUGAUUGAUGCUGUUGAGGUCCAAUCAUUUUGGGAUUUGUUUCUUGUAGAAGCUUAUGAUAUGUUCUAUUUAGCAUCAAUGCUGAUUGUUGAACUUUGAUAUAAGCAUCCUUUUGCCUGUUUGAAGUGUGGAGUGUAGCUGUAUGGUUCCAAUGCAUUUAAUGGAAAAUUAUGUUCAAGUUCAGAAAACUGUCAAGUGAUCUGAAUAAGGAAAUAAAAUAUCCUGGGAUCAAGUGGAAUAUAUAUAUAUAUAUAUAUAUAUAUAUAUCAAGAAUUAAAUUCAGUUAACUGUUUUAAGAGUGUUUUUGUCCAUUAGUGAUUUCAUAGCUAGAAAAAAAGAAAUAAUAAAAUAUGAGUUAGUUGUAUCAGGAUUAUGAUUGAGUUAUUUGGUGGAAGGUCAUUACUAGUAACACUUGAUAAGACUCCUAUACAGUUGUUGCAUAUAAAUGCUUAGGUGCGGUGGACACACUUCCUUCUGACAAAUUGAAGAAUAUAGUUUCCAAUAGAAGAUGAUGAAGGCAAUCUAUGGUUGUACUAAAAAUCUGGGAUGGAAUUCCCUUUUCAAUUGGGAGUUGGUGGUUAAGGGGUAACAUUCAUGAGACAUGAUAUUCGUAGUACUAAUUAGUUAAAAUGUUGUUGGAUUCAAUUAUUGUUGUUCUCACAGUUGUUUAUGAAGCCUCUUAUAAUAAUGUAAUUGUUAUGGUCUAUGCGGCAUUAACCUUCUCAAAAUUUUCUACGCUUUCUAUUUUUCUAGUUUAGUUUUAUUUUAAUGUGAUUGGGUUGAGGCAAUGAGAUGCCAGAUGUGCAAGGAGUGCAUCAAAUAAGCUUAAAAUUUUUAUCAGAGUGAAGGCACCAAUUCCCACACAAAGACAGAGACAACGUAUAAGAUGAAGAAUUUUUUUUAUUGCAUCUGAUAAGCUUACAAUAUAUAUAUAUAUAUAUAUAUAUAUAUGUAUUACUAAAUGCUAAAGAGUUUGCUCCAUUCCAUUGCCUAAUGUGUUCCAUGAUGACAUUAUCAUAAUUAAUUAAUAUUCAGCAUCUGACACUAGUGCAAGGUUUCCUGCAUGACCAUUUUUAACAGAAAGUUGUGCAUGAACUGUAUUACCCAUUUUUUUUAUUUAUUGUUUUAAAUAAAUAUCUAAGCACAAGGACCCUACAUCAUCAGAGUGAAGGUGACAACAACACAGGUUGUGCAAUAUUUAUAUUGACAUUUUUAUUUUCAUUAUGCUGACCAUGGAGUUCUCCUUCAAGGUUCAUCUAUUGCUGAAUGGGCACAUGGGCAGGAAUUUCCUUACUGGCUUGAUCAGCAGGCUCUUGAAACUGAAAGUAUUCCCACAGGCAAACGCUGGUCAUCACAACCAUCACCCAAUUUGGACUCAAAGCAUCUCUACAGGACGUCAUCAUAUCCUGAGCAGCAGCAGCAACAACAACAACAACAACAACACACCAACAACAUCAACAUUUCUCUAGUGAGCCAAUUCUAGUUCCAAAAUCAUUUCACACUUCAUACCCUCUACUCAGUGGCAGAUCUCCUCAAGCUUCACCAACCCAACAUUCUGGUCACUUGAAUAUUCCAUAUGUGGUUGGUGGAUCACAGAUGACAUCUUCGCCCAAUUUCUCUGCCUUCUCUAAGUCUCAGCUUCAAAAGCCAAGUUUACAUCAUGGGUCACAUUAUGGUGGGAACAUGCCUCAGUUCGCUCCUGGUCUGUCUGUCAUUAGUCGACCAUCAAAUCAAUGGGGGAGCCAGCCAAAAUUAUAUGCUGGAGAUAAUUCCAGUGUUUUGAACAAUAUGUUGCAACAACAGUUAUCUCAUCAAAAUGGUUUGAUUCCGCCACAAUUAAUGCCACAGCUGCAGGCACCCCAGAAAAGACUGCAGCAUCCUGUUCAGCCAUCGUUUAACCAUUUGUCAGGGUUUCAGUCACAAUUAUAUAAUCCUCAUCUUUCUCCGUCUCCACCUCUAAUGAACAAUUUUGAAGCUAUACUUGGUAUUGGUGAUCUGAGAGAUCAAAGACCAAAAUCAGCUCAGAAAGAGAGGCAGAAUCCACGAAUUUCUCAGCAGGGCUUUGAUAGCAGUGGACUGAAGAGUGAUAUUGGAUGGCCUCAAUUUAGGUCCAAAUACAUGUCAACCGAUGAGAUUGAGGGCAUUCUUAGAAUGCAGCAUGCUGCAACUCACAGUAAUGACCCUUAUGUGGAUGAUUAUUACCACCAGGCUUGUCUUGCAAGAAAAUCUGCUGGGACAAAGUUGAGACAUCAUUUCUGCCCAACUCAUCUUAGGGAUCUUCCUCCUCGAGCACAUGCAAAUACUGAGCCACAUGCUUUUCUCCAGGUUGAUGCUCUUGGGAGGGUUCCUUUCUCUUCAGUUCGCAGGCCUCGUCCUCUUCUUGAAGUUGACCCUCCAAAUUCAUCAGCUGUUAUCAAGAAUGAUCAGAAAGCUUCUGAUAUGCCCCUGGAACAAGAACCAAUGCUUGCUGCUAGAGUUGCAAUAGAGGAUGGUCUAUGCCUUCUACUUGAUGUAGAUGAUAUUGAUCGGUUUUUACAGUUUAAUCAGUUGCAGGAUGGUGGAGCACAGCUAAGACAAAGACGACAGGUUUUAUUGGAAGGGCUGGCUGCAUCACUUCAAUUGGUUGACCCACUUGGCAAGAAUGGCCACACAGAUGAGCUUGCUCAAAAAGAUGAUCUUGUGUUUUUACAAAUAGUUUCCCUUCCUAAAGGCCAGAAGCUGCUUGAAAGGUACCUUCAGCUUCUUCUUCCAGGUGCUGAGCUUAUGCGAGUUGUCUGCAUGGCCAUUUUCCGUCAUUUAAGGUUCUUGUUUGGAGGCCUUCCCUCUGAUCCAGGAGCAGCAGAAACUACUAAUAACCUUGCAAGGGUUGUGUCCUCAUGCGUGCAUGGCAUGGAUCUUCGUGCACUUAGCGUCUGUCUUGCAGCUGUGGUUUGUUCCUCAGAACAGCCCCGUCUUCCUCCUCUUGGAAGUCCUGCUGGAGAUGGGGCAUCUUUUAUUCUGAAGUCUGUUCUUGAUAGGGCAACAAAACUCGUGAUUGAUUUAAGAGCUGCUGGCAAUUACAAUAUGACCAAUCAGUCCCUUUGGAAGGCCUCAUUUGAUGAAUUCUUUAACCUUCUUACCAAGUAUUGCAUAAACAAAUAUGAUACUGUGAUACAGUCCUUGCGUAUGCAGGUCAAACCAAAUACGGCAAGUGAAGAAUCAGAUGCCACCAAAGCUAUAAAAAGAGAAAUGCCAGUUGAUCUUUUACAGGCAUGUUUACCUCACAUUAAUGACCAGCAGAAAAAGCUGAUAUGGGAUCUCUCUCAACGGUCUAUGCUUGUAGGACAGUCAUGAUAAGUAAGUGGUACCUUGGAGAAGUUUAAAUUCACACAUGUUUGAGACUGCCACGUUGAAGUACAAUAUGGAGCAAGUGAUGCCAUGUGCUGAAAGGAAUUCAAUUAGCUAUAACUAUUUCACGCGGCUAUGAUGGAGCACCCACAAUUGUUUCAGGUGAAGGUCCAAUGAUAUUUAAAGUAAAGGUCAAUUUAGCACCUUUCAGAUUUGAGUUUUAUUAGUUGAUGCGUUUUUAUCUUUAAUAAUAUGCUGCUUUAUUUAGCCAAACAUUUAAGUGGUUCUGUGUAUUAUGAUAGAACCGGGCUAGGAUAUUUUCCUUGGGUCCUAUCCUUGCAUUGGAGCUUAUUUUGAUGCUCUGUUGUGAAAUUUCUGGUAAGGAGAUGUAUUGGAUUAGUAUAUACAGGGUCUGAUCGGAAGAUUUCCCGCAUUCCGACUAUUAUUUUUUAAGGAGGUGGGAUGGAUCAUGUCUUGGUCUCUGUCUGAAUAGUCACCGGGCAAUGUAGCAGACACUGAUUGAAGGCAUGCAGAUGUUGCUUGUAGCUUGCAGGGAGGUGUGUUAGUGUUGCCUUCUCAGCUAGAAUGGUGAAUUUAACUUUACUAUUUGUUGCUUUUGAUUUGAUAUUUCUGUUCUUCCGCGAAUUUAUUGUUUGUAAUCUUUUUUCACUUAUAGCAAAGAAAGGCUGUUCAUAUCUCAGUUCUGCAUUUUGGCAUGGGGUGUUGUUAUGAAGGCUAUAAUUCUCCUGAGCCUUUUAAAGCCUGCCCUGAACUAAACUGUUUUGCCCUUUUAUUUUUGCAUAGAUCGUGGAUGACUCACCGUUCUUUGCAAGGAUGAUUUACCCUUUUAUUUAUUUUGCAAUUCUUUUUGUCAGAAGUUCAAUGUGGUGUACUCGUAAAAUUUUGUUCAAUUCGUAUUUAGGCAUUAAAAAUCAUAAAAUAUGUAUCAUGUUUGGACCUAUAAAGAGUUGACAUCUGCCGUGACAGGUUGGCUUUCUUGGGUGAGGGGCAUCUACUUUUAUGAAUGAUAAAUUACAUUAUUAUUUAUGAUGGAAUUUUAAAAAUAAUUAUUAAAUUAUUAAAAUAUUUAAUUUAGUUAUUAAAGGUUGAGUAAAUUUUUUUUUUUUUUGUCAAUUAUUAGUUUUUAACAAUGUAUUGACGUGAUAAUAACAAGUAAGUUGUUUGAUAAUAAUUUUUUAAAAAAAUUUGUAAUAUCACGUUAUUAAUGUCACAUAAUAUAUCAAAUGAUGUGAUAAUGUAAUGUGAUAAUUGAUAAUUGAGUUGAUAUGUUAUUAGAGAUUAUUUUAAAAACAUAUUUCAAUUUUAGUGAUUAAAUAAAAAAUUUUAAUGGUUAAAUGAUUAUUUUAAAAAUAUUAAGUGAUUAAUAAUGUAUUUAUCAUUCUAUUAAUAUUUUGUAAUAAUUUUUUUUAAAAAAUUUACUGGACUUAAUGAAUUAAUUAUUUAUAAAAUAAAAUUCAAAUAAAAAAAUCAACCAGCUUUCUGUCCUUUGACCCUACGUCCUCAGUAGUUAAAUUAUAUAGUAAAUUCCUUCAUAAUCCCUUAUGUGAGUUGAUUUAACCUUAGAUUUUCAACAUAGGAUCUGAAAUUCUACCCAUUAAAGUAUCCUUAAUGAUUAUAAAAAAUUCUUUAUUCUUUGUAAAAUAAACUUAAAGAGUGAAUUUUCAUGAAAAUUGCUUGUAUUUUGAUGUCCAUAAAUACCCUUAAUUAGAAACUUUAUGUUGGAUGAUUAACAUGACAAUUAAGAAGGAACGAUACCUCUUAGGCCCCGUUUGAUAUUAAGAUUGGAAAGCCUACAGCCUGUUUCAAGCAGCACAGUAGAAGCACAUCCAAGUGAAAAAUUGUGUUCCAGAAAGAAAUUAAAUUAUUAUAUAUUCUUAUAUCUUAUGAUAUUUUAUUAUUUUAUGUAUAUAGUUUUGAACAUUUUAAUUUUUUAAGUAUUACAUUAAUACCAAACACUUAAAUUUCUUUUUUUUUUUUUGACAAAAUGCUGCAACAUGAUAAAAAUUAGGAUAAAAGAAUAUGGUUAAUUUUCUCGAUUAAAAGUUUUUCCGAUCACAACAGCCACAUAGGCCUUGAGUUGUCGAUUAUACAAAUCACAACCCUCUUAUUUUAGUAUACAAAUUAAUAUUUUUAUAUUAAGAGAGUGAGCCUGGGGGAAUAUAGGUUAUCAUGUUCCAUAUAAGUAAAAUAUGACAAGUAAAACUACAGCCAAUGUCAUCAAUCCUGUGGAAAUCCAAAUGAUAAUUCUCACAGUUAGAAUUAAGCCAUAAGACUUGGUCUUGUUCGUUGACAGUGUGACUAGGACUAAAGCAAAAAAUAGUGAGGCACACAUUAAGAGAAUUCCAGCUUUAAACAAAAGCUUGCCUGUCAUGGUGGGUUGACUACUUCUUGGAAAUCCAGCGAGGAAACUAAGAAUCCCAGUUGUAGAAACUGAGAUAACCAGGCAUGAGACUUUUAACCCAUUUUUGAGGUUUUGCACUUGAGCUUCAGUUUCAGCUUCAGCAGCCAUAUUUUGCAUUAACAUUCUUUCUGUAACAAAUCUUGAGAGUAUAAUUUCCGUCUGUUGUGCUGUUGUAAUUUGAUCGCCCUCCAGCUGCCAUUUCACCGUCAAAGAUAUAAUCAUCAUCAACUUUUUCAAAUCCAUUUAACUUCAGCCAUUAAUAAUUGAAUUUAUAUUUAAUGUAUUAUUAAUAUUUUAUACGCAAUCAAUAUAUCAUAAGUUGUUACAUAAUUAAUUUAUUUUAAAAUAAUUAAAUAUUUAAAUUUUAAAAAUAUUUAUUUUUAAAGUUCUAAAAUUUUAAAUUUAUUACUAAUGGUCUGGUACUUUACAGUGCAUUAAUACUGACAAUGUAUAAAUCCUUAAUAAUUAUAUCAAUCCUGAGUAAAUUGCUUUGGAUAGAUCUUGUGUUACAGCCAGCAUUACAGCACAAUAUAUUUGCAAGUUUAUGGCUUAAUUAAAAGAGAUGGUGAAAAUAUGUUAAAGGUUUUUGUGCUUUAGAAAAAUUUUAAAUUUAGUCUAUGCACUAUAAUUUAUAAAAAUUUAGUUUUUAUAUUUUAAUUUGAUAAUUUUAGUUUAAUUAUUAACUUUGUCAAUUUUUUGUCAUUAAAAAUAUUGACGUGAUUGUUGAUUUUACUGAUAUGGUAUUAAUUUGUUGACGUAUCAAUUUAAAUUGAUGAAAUUAGUUGUUAAAUUAUGUAAAUGGUUGCUAAACUUAUACGAAAUUUGAAAUUUAAAAUUUAAUUCUUAUACGAAAUUUGAAAUUUAAUCUAUAUAUUUGCAUGAGAUUUGAAAUUUAAUCUUUCUAAUAUAAAAAAUAUUUUAAAUAUUUUUAGUUUUUUUAAAAUUUUAAAUUUUAAAAGUAUUUUAGUUCUUAUAAUAUAAAAAUAUUUUUUUGAAAUAUAUUAGUUUUUAUAAUAUAUAAUAAUUAUUAAUAAUAUCAUAUUAAUAAUAAUACUAUUAUCAUUUAUAUUAAUCAAUUAUAAUAUUAAUAAUGUAAAUUAAUAUAUCAAAGUUAAUAUUAUUUAAUUAAUUUAGUAAAUUACUUUAAUUUAUUUAGAAUAUUUAACCUGGAUUUGAUUAUAAAAAAUUGUUUAUAUAGGUUUAAUUUAAAUGAAUAAAAACACUAUUUGAUGGAUAAUUUUACUUUUAUGAAAUAUAAUUAUAAUUAUAAUUUAUUUAAUAAAUUAAUAAAAAAUAAUAGUUUAUUAAAAUUAAAUAGUAACAUAUUUGUAUUAUAUAUUAAAAAAUUUAUCAUAGAUUUUUAAUAAAUUGAUAUUAGAUUUUUUUCAUAUGACCACAAUGUACUACAAUUAUAAUAAAAAAGUGUAACAAUUAAAUUAGUAACAUAUUUAUAUUUUAUGAAGGAAUAUAAUAUAAAAUAGUGACAGAACUAGUAAUAGUAUUUUACAUGGAUGACCAAAACUAUGAUAAAUUUAGUGAUAAUAUAUGAAAAUUAUGACAAAAAUAUUAUAAUAGAAUUUUCAAUAUUAUGAUAGAAUAUUAUAAGAUAAUAUUGUGGUCAUUUUUAAAAUUUAAUAUUUUAAAAAACUAAAAAUUUUAAAAAAAUUUAAAAUUUUUUUGUACUAGAAAGAUUAAAUUUUAAAUUUCGUAAGUGUAAUAACUAAAUUUCAAAUUUCAUACAAAUAUAAAAAUUAAAUUUCAAGUUUCGUAUGAAUAAAAGAAUCAUUUACAUAAUUUAAUAAUUAAUUUUAUUAAUUUUAAUUAUCACAUCAGUAAAGUCAACGAUCACAUCAACAUUUUUAAUGACAAAAAAUUGAUAGAAUUAAUGAUUGAACUAAAAAUAUUAAAACAAAAUAAUACAAGAAUUAAAUUUUUUUAAAUUAUAAUGCACAGAGUAAAUUUUAAAUUUUCCUCAAGUAUAUGGACUUCUGGCACAUUUUGACCAAAAGAGAUUGAUGCUGAAUAUAUGUACCAAAUCCAAACAAUUAAAUCAAUGACGGAUCUACGAUUUAUUUUUGGGGUAUCCACUUAUGAUAUAUAUAUAUAUAUAUAUAAUACUGAUAGCUUUAUUAAUUUUAUCAUCGAAAGAGUGUUUACGAAAAAGUUUUGAAGGUAUUUAGACGAAAAUUCUUAUUCAAAUUUUGCUAUUUUCUAAUUUUUUAGAGUGUCCAUAGAUGCCUUCACUCUACAUGCGGUUCCGACAGUGAUUUAAACGUACGUAUGCGAUAUUGGUACAUAGUUCUUGUGUCACGGACUUAAGGACGAGUCAUAAAUCUCACAUCGAACAUAAUAGAAAGGUCAUUGGGGUAUAAAAGGGUUCACACCACCUUUGCCUUGUGAGGCGCCUUUUAUAAGACAAAACCGUGAGGUCAGGGGAACCAGAGCGGACAAUACCUCACAAAGGUGUGAACCGUGACAGGUAGGCUGAUCUGGGACGCCGGAAGGGUGAAUGCCCGGGUCCCGGAGCCGCGUGGGUUCGGAGCUUAAGUCUCGAACCGUGAGCCACCCCUAAACCGUUCGAUCCACGCCAAGCACCUCGAGGGAGGUAGGCAGGGUGGCCAGCCUCCGUGACGAAUGCAUCACGAGGUUGGGUGCGGGAGAAUGUCACGGACCUAAGGAUGAGUCUUGAAUCCCACAUUGAACAUAAUAGAAAGAUCACUGGGGUAUAAAAGGGUUCACACCACCUUCACCUUGUGAGGCGUCUUUUAUAGGACAAAACCGUGAGACUAGGGGAGCCAGAGCGGACAAUACCUCACAAGGGUGUGAACCGUGACAGAUAGGCUGAUCUGAGACGCCGGAAGGGUGAAUGCCCGGGUCCCGGAACCGCGCAGGUUCGGAGCUUAAGUCUCAACCCGUGACACUUGCACCAUAAUGCAUGCUCAUGCAUAAAAGCAAGUACAUCGGAAUGAAACUGAGAUAAACGAAAUAAAUUUGCCUUCAUAAUGCACACUAAACAGACAUGCAAGUGGUCCAAAAUGGAGUAAUAAGGAAUAGUCAGACCUCUUCUUCUACUACUUGUGUUCGUGAAUUUAGUUGAUUGGGGAUAUGCGAAGUUCCAGUUUGACAAGAAGGUUGGCCAAGCUCUAAUGAGCCAGCAGGUGCAAUUUCUACGGUAUCGUUCCCUGCUGUUUCAUCACUGAAAUCAUGGUGCUGCAAAGUUUCUGUGUUCUGUUAAUAACCAAAACAUAUACUUCUAUAAAUUAUAUAUUAAGAAGAUAAUUGGAGAUUGGUGCCUAUAAAGCAAAUAUAUUACCUCAUCUGCCUCAACAUUAUUUGGUUGUUCAUUCUUAAAUUUUUCAAUCAGUAUAGUAAUCAGAAGAGCUGCAAAAGCAUCAACAAAUAGGUAUUAACAUUGUAUCAAAUAAGAAAUGAUAUUGCAAGACUAUACGGAAAAAAAAUUUUCAAGAAUUCUGCUUACAAAAGAGAAGCAUGGAAUGGGAAGGAAGUAACACAACUUGGUGAGAGGAUGAAGAAGGCUCCAUUAAUGGCUAUUACUAAUUUUCUAUAUCAAUGUGGAAUUGGAAAUGCAACUCAAUUACACUAGCUUUUAUAUAUACAUAUAUAUAUAUAUAUAUUGUCAUUUCAGAAAUACACGUUUCUCAUUGACUGAUUAAGUCUCUCUUUUGUUUUUUUUUGGGAGUCUCUUGGAAAAGGAGCUUACCCCUUCUUUCUCUUUGUCUAGUUAGUGGUGGAUGAUGCGUGGCAUUUGGUCAUGCGGAGAGGAAACAAUUCUAAGUACAAAAUAACAAUAACCUUUAUGUUUGCAUUUUUUUUUUUCAUUUUUUUUCCAGAGUAGUUAUCAAAUUCUGGCUGAAAAUAUCGUCUCAAAAUAAUAGAAAUCAAAUUAAUGAAAUUAUUUUAUAACUUAAAGAUAAUAUUUGGGUUAUUUUUCUAUUAAUUUAAUUUUUUUAGACAAUUGAUCACCAAGACAUUAUAGAUCUCUGAAUACGAAUCCUUAAAAAAAAUUUCUCCUUUUUAAUAUUUUAAAAUUUGAUAUGGUGUUAAAUUAAGUGAGAAUGAUUAAUGGACUUAAACCAUAAGAUAAUAUAAUUAGGGUUUGAUUUUCAAUUGAUUUCGUGCCUGAAUCUUGAAAAGCGUGAAGAAAGAAAAUUGAUCUUUUUUUUUUUUAGCCAUAAAAGAAAAUUGACCUUAAUGUGCCAUUUUGAAUUCUUUUACACAACAAAACAAAACAAAACAAAGGCAAAAGAUCGAAAAGAAGACCGAAAGUUAAAAGUGACCCAAAAAUGUUUUCUUUUUUUUGGUGUAAAAGUUUCUUGUUUCAUUGGAUCAUUUGCAUAGCAUUCAUGAAACAGGUGGUCCUGCAUGCCCCUUGAUAGAAGACAAAGCUCCUCACAUUUUCAUGGAAAUUAAAAUCCUGUCCAAUCCAAGUUUCCAUUCCAUUAAUUUUAAGUAUCUCGGUUCAUUCAUAUAUGGUAGACUGAGAAAGACUUUCCCUAGAAGCUCGCGGUUGCCAUUUUCUCCAUAACCCUCUCUUUUGUCAUUCGCAAUUGCUUGUUUCAUUAAAAAAUAGCUAAUUUUUACUAUAAUUUAUCCAAUCAUGAUAAAAAAAAUUACACUAUAAUCUCCGGUUUAGAUUGUACUUUGGGUUUUGAUUAAAAAUAUCCCCCAAUUGCCAUCUUUAUUACAACUAUAUAUGUUCAAAAGCUUACCAUUAGAAUUGAAAGCAAUUCUUACUAUUGGACAAUUCUUUCUGAAAAAGAUUACUCUGACUGGUACAUUUUGUGCCUUUUUGGGUGGAUCAGACAACAAUGCUUCAACUUUACUUAUGUUUAUUAUGUACCAACUGAUUUAUUUAUAUCGACAAAAAAACAAUUGAUUUAUUUUAUUCUUUUUGUAAAAGAAAGUCACUUAUAAUUUAAAGUAAAAUUAUUUAUUUAAUAUAUUAUGUUUUAUAUACAUUUAUUUUAAAUUGAUAAAAUUUAUAAUUUUGUAAACUUGUUAAUAUAUUGCAUGCAUAUAUUUAUUAAUAAUAUAAUAAGAUAUAUUUUUAUAAAAAUAUUGCGCCAUAAUAUAACUAUCUUUCAUUUUAAUUCUCUUCAAGGGGGGAUAUGCCAUUGACUGUUUAUACCGUAGGUCGGGUGACAUCCUCGACAAUACUGUUGCCAAUAAAUGUCUUUUGUCUAAUGUGAGCAAUGAUCUGAUGACAAGAGGCAAAAUAAAGUGACAACCGAAAAUGAAUAUAUUUUGCAAACAUCUCUUUUUUUUUUCCCUAAUUUCUUUAGUGGCAAAUGAACAAAAAUACUUUUGAAAAGUCCAAGUUCGAAUAUUUCUAAAUCUGAUUUAAAAAAUAAAAUAAAAUAUCCAAAUUUGAAAAGUUUUUAAACUUAAAAUUAUCUAAAUUAAAAAAUCUCAAAUUUAAACAUAGUUUGAUUAAAAAAUAUUAAAAUAAUUAUAUUUUUCAUAAAAUUUUAAGACAUAUUGACUAAUUUAAAUUUAAACUCAAGCCAAACAUAAAAAAAUUUCAAAUUUAAUCUCGAACUCAAGUUCUUAUUAACUGUGUUAAUAAAGUAUAAUUUUUUUGCCUUCCACCUUUUGCUUUAGUGGUUAAAAAGUUUUGACGGAGGCAUAUGAGCAUAAACUCUAACCCACCAUCCCCCUUCUUCUAUAAACUUUGCCUUUCUAAGCCUUAGGAGAUUAAAAGUAUAUGAGUUAGUUACUAAAAAAGAAUAUAGUAUAUUAAUUAAUUGAUCUUUACUACAUGUGUUGUGUUUUUCUUUUUGGGGACACAGAUGGGUCUCAUUUGCUUUGUCUUUUAGAGAGAAAAAAAUGGUUUGAACUUUGAAUAGUAUUAUAGAUACUUUAUUUUGUUUGAAUAGUUAAAAUGAUCCAUAAUUAUUUAAAUUGAAUUCGAUGCAAUUUAAUCUAAGUCGAUUGUAUUUGAAAGCUUAAAGGUCUAAUUCAAAAUUUUACAUGGGUCUAGUCCAAUUAAAUUUAGACUUGAAAGCCCAAAGUCUAAAUGUGGUCUAGAUUCAACUAAAAAUUAAAAGCUUAGAAAAAAAGGUGUUUGCAAGACUCAGCAAUCCCGCAAAAUUUACCUUUCCCAGAUGCCUGAACCCUUCCCCUUUUGGUACACUAUUUUCAAGUUUAUAAUUUUCACCUCUCUUUUACCCUACUGACUUCUAACAUAAGUUGAUCAAAAAAAAUUUAAAGCCCCGAACACUAGCAAGCCAUUGCUACCAUUAUAGCUACAUUCCAAAAUUUUCAAUCAUCAUUUUAAAUGAAUUAAAGGAUUCUACUGAGGGCUUUAGAUAACAGGGAAGAGGGAUUCACAACAUGAAAAAAAAAAAAAAAAAGACUCUCAUCUAAGGGAGAAAAAAAGGGCCUCCAACCACCUCCAACAAAAAUAAAACCUAUUUUUCAACUAGCUUUCACUCAUUCCCCUCACCCAGACUUGAUCACCUUCAUAGCCCCAAACCCCUCCCAAAAAAAAAAAAAAAACAAAAAAAAAUCCCAACCCAAGACCAACCAUAUCCUCACCCAUGAUUCACCUUGUAUCACCAUCAUCGACUUAACAUAAACUCAUAAACUAUCAAACCUGAAGCUAACCCACCAUGAAGCCCAUUGCCAACACAGCUCUUCCAUCACUAGAGGAACAAGUCUACUUCAAUAAAAAGAAAAAAAAAAAACCCUGCAACCACCAUCACUUCUUGCCUUUAGUUGCCACCACCAUACCCAAAUAGUCUUUCCUAGUUGAGCCCUCCACACCAAUAGAAAAACCAACACCUAAGCUACCAUCAAUAGCCUACCCCAUUUGACUACAUUUUAUGAUCAAUAUGGCACCCAUUCGACUACAUCAUGUCAUGAUCAAUAUGGAACCUAAAAAAACACCACAAAAAUGAUCAAUAUGGCACCCAUAAAAACACCGCACCCAUUCGGCUAGUCACCAGACCUGAAACCAACCCAUCUAAAAAAAAAAAACAAAACAAAACAAAACAAAAAUAAAUCAUAGUCUUUACGUGAAGAACCCAAUGCCACAAAAAAAAUGAAGGAAUGGUAGUUGUAAGAAUGAGAAGAAAAAGCCAUUAGAGGUGGUAAAAAUAGGAGGCAAUAGUUGGGGGUGUUUUGGGAUACACGGCUUCUACAUGGUUUUAAAUCUUGAAUUUAGGGGAAAGGGAAGGACAUAGUAAAAAUUUGAAGCCAAUGGAGCAACGAAAGUGGGUGGUUUAGCGCUUUAAAACCAAAACUUUAUGUGCAAAUCUACGAUGUUUUAGAGAAAUUUUAGGAAAAAUAAGUUGAGAAAUAAAAAAAGGAUGAGAAAAUCUUUACUUGGGUGACUUUUGGAAAACAAACUAACGCCGACAAAUAGUGGUCAAUGUGGCAAGCCAGCAUCGAGAUCUAGGUUUUGUAGUUUGAAUGACCGAUUGUUUUUAGAGCUUUGAAAUUUUUUAGAAAAGUGAUAAAGGUAAAGCUUUUAUAGCAUUAAAAGAAUUAUCAGCUAACUCAUGCACCGGCUCAAGCUUAACCCAGGAUUUACACACCCGACUCGGACUAAAGAGCUACUGUUAGACUUAAAUUGAUCUAACUGAAUUGAUUCAAGGCUGGCUUAACUUAUUAAAUCGUAAGUGAACCAUCUAUUUCCUUUUCAAAUUGAUGUUGGUUCAUCUGAACUAGAUCAAACCCUAACAGACUGCUGUUAGACCGAUCAAUUUAGGUAAUUUUUAUAUUUUAUAUUUUCUUAAUGUUUAUUAUUAUUAUUAUUAUUAUUUAUUUUCUUUACACAUAUUUAAUAUUCAAAUUUCCAAAAAUAAAUAUAUAUUAUCUCUUUAAAAAAUAAUAAAAAUAAUGAAAAUAAUUUCUAGACUUUCGGUAAUUUUAAAUUUGAAAAAAAAAUAAAAAUAGUAAAAAAAAAGAAAAUGAAGAAAAAGAAAUUUUAAAUCUGAUGAUGAGAUUCUACGGUAUUUCGAAUAGUGAUACCAAAAAAAUCUCUAAGUGAGAAAAUUUUUUUUAAAUACUACUAGCAUAUUAGAGUAUUUAUAAAAAUUCUUCAAAAUAAUAAAAAGUUUCUUUUUUUUUCUAAAAAAAAUAAUAAAAAAAGAGAAAUUAAUAAACAUAUUUUUAUCCAAAAAAAAAGAGAGUAAGAAAAUGAAUUUUUACCCAAUGAUGAGAUUCUGAGGUUGUUUGAGUAAUGAGGCUUAAGAAAUUUAUAGGCGAAAAGAUUUUUUUAAUACUAAUAGCGAAUUGGAAUAUUUACAAAAAUUUUCAAUAUAAUAAAAAUUUCUCUUUUUUUCAAAUAAAGAAAAAGUAAUAAAAAACCAACAAACCAAAAAAGAGAAUUAUUAAUUAAAAAGGGAAAAUGAAAUAUUGGCAUUAAUAUUUUGUCAUUGGCAUUGCAUGCACAUAAUUCUUGAAAAAUAUACACGAGCCUCCAAAGAUGGAAUUCUAAAAUAAUCCUAGUAAUGUCUAGAAAAUUCCUAUGUGAGAAAAAUUCUUUCAAUGUUACCAAUAUAUUAAGACAUUUUAAGAGUUUUUUCAAUAACAAGGUUCUAGUUGAUUUUUCUCGAAUAAAAUAGAGUAACAAAAAAAUAAUCAAAAAAGAGAAAAAAAAUAAAAUUAUUACAAAUAAAAUAAAUCAAGGAAAUUAUUGAUAAAUACCAAGUUUAAGACCAGUUUUGUUAAAAUUCAAAGGAUAACAUAUAAUUAAUUGAUACCAUUUUAAACGAAUGCUGUGGGGGUGUUAAUCCUUCCUCAUACGUAAUCGACUCCUUGACUUAAAUUGUUUUUGUAAACCUAAAAAAAUUAUCUUUUUAAUAAAAUUGAAUUAAUUUUAAGAUUUUAUUAAAAAUCUAAGUUUUAAUAGGUAGCCAAUUACACUUAACCAAUUUUAAAAUUCAUCUACCAACCCUAAAACUGUUACAAUAGUUUAGUAACUUCAUUGGGGACACUUUUUUGUGAGUUAGACCAAAAUUAAUUAUGUGUUAUCCUUAAUUUUAAAAUAACAGUUUUAAUUAUUAUUUAACUUUAAUUUCUUUGAUUUUGAUUUUAUUUAAAAAAUAAUAAUAAAAAGAAAAAAUCAUAUGCAUUUCAUUUUUAUUGUCAUUUGUUCAUUAUUUAUUUUAUGUUUUUCUUAAUAAAAUGUGGGGCAUGUAGGAUAGAGACUGCAAUGUUAUUUUCUCUUACAUAUACAAUAAGCAUUACAUGCAUAGGCUUUAUAUCCGAGCUCUAACUCUUUUAAAGGAGAGUAAAGUACCUAUGCUCUAGUGAGGUGAUAACCUCCACAAUAACAAGUGAAAUACUCUUACUCAAAUUAAACCAUUUUCGUUUGAAGCCUAUAAUUGGUGAGGAUUUGGUACCUUACUAGUCCAACAUAGACGAUAGUGAGGAAGAAUUUGAGAACUUUUUAGCCUCUAUUAGUUUUGAGCUUUGCAUAGAGUAAACUAUAAUAAGCCAACCUUAGAUAGAGCAAUACCAUUUUUUUUGUAUAAAUUUUACUCUAAACUAGGACGCAUGAAAGCAUUUAUUUUAACUUGAUUGUUACCCUAAUUUAUUUUAUUUUCCUUUUGUUUCAUGAUCAAACGUUAAUAUAAACAUCAGUAUAUGGGAUGUGUUUGUCGACGUACUAAAAAGUUAGGAGAUUUUAGGUUUUGUUUCAAAACACUAUCAUAUUGUCCUCAGCUUUAGAACCCAACAUAUAUGAAGAUGUUAAUAAGGUGAUAAUUCAAUCAUCAAAAACCUAAAGAAGAAAAGGACAUUAUCUGAAAGAAUCUAAAAAGGAAACUUUACUUGAAAAAAUCAUGUUGGGGCUUCAACAAGAUGAUAUCUUCGAGUAGUCGAGAUUUGGUGCAUGUAACAACACUUAAUAAAAUGGCUUUCGAGGUAAAAUAUGAUCAUAUUACUUCAUUUCUUGAGGUGCCUAUAAAAGACCAGUUGAUAAGAGCUUUGAUUCAAUUUUGGGACACUACUUAUAGAUGUCCCAUAGUUAAUGAGAUUGAUAUAACUCCAACAAUUGAAGAAUAGUCUAUGUUAUUGUAGUUGCAACUUCUUAAUCGAGAUAAGAUCUAUUGUUGAGGUAAAAAUUUUAGAUCCUGAAAGAAAUUUACCCACAUGAUAAAAGUGUCCACUUAGGAUGUGAGCUCGUAUAUCCAAACAAAAGGCAAAAGCAAAUGCAUCCUAUAGGAAAUCUUGCACAAUUACAUUGUCAAACACUUGGAGGAUGAACGAGGUAUGAGAAUGAUAACUUUGGUAAUUUAUUAUUUGAUCAUUUUCCUUAAGGACUUGAGACACAUUAAGGUGUUAGUAAUACACUUCCUUGAGCCAGUGGACAAUAAAAUGAAUCAUAUUUUAUCCAUAUUGGCAAAAACUUUAGAUUAUCAAAUCAUUAUCGACAAAAAUGAGGACAACGCAUAAGGUGUGCACAACUACUUUAUGUUUGGGAAAAAAGUUAUCUUCAGAAUCUUGUGGGCAAAUUUCACCCUAUUUAUUGUAAGAAGAUGACAUCCAUUGAAAAGUUUUGUAAUAUUGGAUGGCCAACAUCAAAGCCCAAGGAAGAGUGGUUAUUAUUUUACAAAAUUUCACCAAUGUUCAAAUUAUAUAGAAAGCUCCAUAAAUGCCAUGAUAAGCUAUAUUGUACAAAUAUGGCAAUAAAUUAUGGGUUUCAGUCUUAAGACUGUGAAGAGGCAUAGGUUAUGCUCCAAUUAUGGUCUAUAAAUAAUUAGGGUCAGAAUAGUUUGUUCAAAUAACUUAUGAGCUUCGAGAAUUAGAAUUCUCUUUUGAGGAACUAGGAUUUCUUAAGAAAGAAAGAAACUAUCAAAUAGUGGCAGCAAACUUAGAGAGUAGGUUGUGAAAGAUAUACAGAUAAGGUAAUACCUGAAUAUUUGCUAUGAAGAAAGCGAUAUGCCUCAACCAAUGUUAUUCCCAUGAAUAAAAAAUCAUGCCCACUUGAAGAAGCCCAUUGUGAAAGGGGCCCUGAAAAUAUGAACGUUAUGAAACAUAUAUUGGAAUAAGAGAAGGAAACAUAAGAGAUUGAAAAGUAAAGACAUUAGCAUGAGGUUAAGGAAUAAAAGUCUAAACCUAAAGAGAAUAAAGGAAAAUUUCAAAGAUUUGAAAGAGAACAAUAAGAGAUGUAAAAAAAUAUACAUAAAUAUAUUGUGUCAGUGAUCACUAAACUUAAAGAAAUAAAAAAAAUACCGAACAACUUCAGUCUAAGUUGUUGUUUAAGGAAAAAGAGCUCAUUAGGUUUAUGAAGGAAAAAAAAUGUUGCAAAGCCUUGUUGAUGACUUGAAAUAGUAAAUAUGCCAUCAAUGUGAAGCCAAUCAAAUCCUAAAGAAAGAAAGAGAUCAAUUUGAGCUCAAAAUCAAAGAAACCCAAUAUUGGAAAAAUGAAUGUCUACUAAAAGAGUCUUAAACCACUCGUUUGGUAGAAUAGAUAAGAGAAGUCAACUUCAAAACAAUGGACAUGACCCAAAAAGCUAAGCAAGUAAAAGAAUAAAUGUAUCUAGGAUAAUAUAGUCAAUGCUUGGCUAAUUUUCAAGAAAGUACUUACAAGCAGUACAAACACGUAGGGAUUUCUUUUGAAAAUCUUAAUAUUAUGAUGUAAGAAGUCUUUAUUAAGGUAUUGUAGCAAACUCAAUGUUGAAGUAAAAAGUUUUCAACAAACUGAUGUUUUAAAAUUGAAUUUGUGAUGUUGUGGUUCAAAGCUUAACUUGAAAUCUUUUAUAAGUAUUGGGUACCCUACAAGCACAUCAGUUUGUAUUCACACAUUCAUGCAUCAUAUACAUGUUCUAUUUAAUGUUAGUUUUAAUAUAUUGUGGAGUGUUGAAAGAUUAACUUUUGCUUUUAAGGGCAUUUCUAUUUUUAAUGCACCAAAUUUGAAUUUUGAUACUAAUAAAAGAGGUUUUUCUUAUUUAGUUGGGAUUUUAUAUUACAUUCUGACAUUGUGUAAGUCAAUUUUUUAGAAAAUAAUGUAUCAAUUUUCUGUUUGUAAAAAGAUUAUUUUGAAUAAAAAAACCCCGCAUAAUUUGAUUUAUAGAUUAUAAUAAUAAAGCCAAAAAGUAUCUUACGAGUCCUCAAACAAUUGGAAAUCAUCAUUGGAAUGGAUUUAACUUAAAAAUCAUUUUUUCACCAAUCAUUUUUUGAUCUAUUAUUUUGAAAGGCAUGAGUCUGAGACUCAAGAACUAAAUUUUCAUAGUACCUAAAAGCCAAGCUUUCAUAUGGGCAACAAACAAAAGAGACUAAUUUUAAAAAUUCAUUUUGAGUUUCGAAAAUCAGACAAGACACUUUUUAAAAUUUUUAAUUGAUAAUUCAAUGUGUGUUAAAAUUUUACCAAUAUUAUUGAACUAUUCAAAUUCUUUCAAUGACUAUAGAUACAAAAAAGCCUAAACUUUAUUUUUCAAGUAGCCCUUAUUUCACAUCUUAAGCCAAAUUGAUGUUCUAUACCUUAAUACCUUUACCCUUCAUUUUACCAAAAAAUGUCAAACCAUUUGGAACCAAAAAGAGCUUUUUUUUGAAUUAUGUGAUCAAAUUUAGAACAUUCUAGACAACCUGGUUUUUAUUGUCAUAAGAACCUUGAGUGAAAAACAAGAUGGAGAAUCAAUCACACAAAAAUAAUUGAUGGUUAUAUCAUGUAAAAAAAUAGAAAAAAUUAGAAAAAAAUAAAAAACACAAAAAAUAGAAAAAUAAAGAAAAAUAAAGAAAAAAACCAAAAAAGAAACCUUUUUAUCUCAUUCUUUCCUUCUUCAAUAAUUUAUUCUUCUAUCUAAGUGAUCAUAUUUGAAAUGAUGAAUCAUAAUCUUUCUCUAUCUUUUACAUAUAGAAAAAUUAUCUACUUGUUACCCAUUUGAGCUUAUUAAAUUUCUUAUUUCAAAAUAAAUCCCAGUCAAGGAUCGUUUUUUACAUUGAGGGGAAAAAUAGGGACAUCUUCAAAGAUCAUGAGCAAUAAUGCCCAACUUUAAGGAAAACGUUUAAUAUUAAGAAUGUCUAACAUGCAUCUUAUAAAUGAGAAUCCAAAGCAAAAAGUGAUUGAAGUUUCAAUUAGAAUUCCAAGUAAAAAGAAUAUAGAAUUUAAGAAAGUAGAAUACUAAAGUUGAAAUCAAAUAUUUCCAAAAAAAAGAAAAAAAAAAGACACAUGGCUUUUUAUCCAGAAAAUGCUCCAUAAGAUCUUUAACCUAAUUAUCUUGAAUAAUAUAUUUUGAGCCUAUUUACCCAUUCUUUUAGAACUCGAAACCUUAGCCUACAUUAUAUACUUUAAAAAGUUCAUUUUCAUCAAAUGUGGACACUUGAAUUGAAGAGCCAUAUCCUUGAAAAUUUGAAUAUACCUAUUAUCAAUUGACAAGAUUUUACUAAGUUCCUUAUUAUUAAAAAAUAUAGCUCAAAGAUGAAAAUCCAAAAAGGACAGUUUGGAGUUAGAACCACUUUUAAGGCCUUAAGAGAAUUUUAAAAUUUCAAGGUUUUAUCCAAAAAUAAAAAGUCACGAUCUUUUAAAAGAUCAAUACCCAUUAAAGAUUUUACAUUUCAUUAAAACAGUGAAAAUAAAAAACCCUAACCUUUUUCUCUUCCCAAAUCUUUUUCAAAAAAUAAUGGCUAAUUUUAAUGCACAUUGAAGUAUUAUGUUAAGCCAUGCUUUGUUUUCAAUAAAAGAAAAGUGUUUUAGAAAAACUAUCUCUUUAGUGAGCUCAAGAGUAAUUCUUGCAACCGUCGUCAAGCUUUCCUUGAGAUAUGCCUACCAGUGAAAAGAAUUGAAUUGUCAAUUACCCCAUCCAUAAGCAUUUCAAAUAAUAAUCAUCAAUUUUUAAGAUAUUUGAAAGUUAUGAAUUUCUAACUUUUCUCAUUAAUUAAAAAAAUAAUUUAUAUGGGGUGAUUUUGUGAUCACUUUGAAAAAGUUUGAAGAUUAUUUAGGCAUUUUGUACAUAAUACUGAUAUCAUUUUUAGUCAAAAAUAAAUAAUGAAAAUUUGAAUAGAAAUCUUUUGAAUAAAAAAAUCACAUUUGCAUCAUUUGCAUGUGCAACAUAAGAAAGAAAUUUAUCUACAUGCUGCUAAAAAAAAAGAAGAGACAUUUGCAUUUGCAUUACUUGCAUAUGCAUCAUGUGAAAGACAUUCACAUUUACGUCAAUGGCAUUUGCAUCAUAACAAAGAUAUUCGUAUUUGCAUUUGCAUCGUUGCAUCAUUGCAUCUGUAUCAUAAAAAAAGUAUUUAUAGGUGCAUCUACAUGAAAAGAACAUUGGCAUUUACAUUAUAAAAAAAUUACUUGUAUUUUCAUCAAGCAUUCGUGUUUGUAUCAUUUUGAUUAGAAAUAGACAUUUAGGUCAUGAUUACCUUUGUCAAAAUAAAAAAAAAAGGUAUUCAAGAGAAGAGUUUAAAAAAAAGGGGAUAAGAAUAUCUCAGUUUAAGAAAUAAUAAAAGUAAAAUCUACCAAAAAAUGAUAAAAAGUUCAAAACAAAAAAAAAAGAAGCAAAAAGAAGAAAAAAAAAAGAGAGAAAUAAGAAAAAAGAAAAUAGUUUGACAAUAGGAAAAAAUAACAAAAGAGUUUGAAAAGUCGAAAAAGAAUUUACAAAAAAAGGGAAAGGGUUGUUAAAGAAAUGAAUGAAAAAAUAUAUGAGAUAUGAUAACAAGUUGAAUUUUAGAAGGAAUAAAUGUCAAAAAAUUUUAAAAGAGAUCAUAUUUCAAGUCCAGUUUAGCUAGCAUCGACAUAUUUUAAACAUAAUUUAGCUGACACAAAUCAGAUUUUAAGCCUAGUUUAAUUGGCAGUGAUAAGAUUUCAAGCCCAGUUUAGCUGACAUUAAUUGGAUUUUAAGCCCAAAUUAGAUAACAUCAAUAAAAUUUAAGCCCAAUUUAGCUAGUACCUAAAUUUUAAACCCAAUAAAAUUGGCACUAAUUAAGAAAAACCUUGUGAUCAAGUUUUCUACAAAGUUACUUGGUGGUAAUAUCCAAGUUCUUUACAAUGGUGAUAUUCGAAAUUUAAAAAAUUUUAAAAAUUGAAUGUUUCCUCUUUUAUAAGCAAAUUUUCAGAAAUUGAUUUGUAAGCCCUUUGUGCAAAAUUCGUAAGACUUUCAAGCAAAAUUUUUAAUUUUUAAUUGACUUCUAAAAACCUCUAGGCAAAAUCUUAAAUUUUUAAAUGAUUUUCCAAAAUCUCCGAGCAAAGACUCAAGCGAUUCGUAAGACCUUCGGGCAAAAUGUUUAAAUUUUAAAGUUUUAAUACCUUUGAUUAGAGGAAUUUUCGUAAAUAUCAAGAUUUACAAGACUUCAAGCAGAAUGUUUUAAAGUUUUAAAGUUUCAAAACCUCUGAUUAAAGAAGCUUUUGUACAUGUCGAGAUCUGUAAGACUUUUUUACAUAAUCUUUAAGACCUCUAAGCAAAAUUUUAAAUUUUUAAAUGAUUUUUCAAGACCUCCAGACAAAACAUUUUAAUUUUUAAAGUUUUAAUACCUCUGAUUAGAGGAGCAUUCGAAAAUAUUAAGAUUUGUAAGAUUUUUAAGCGUAAUCUCUAUAUCCUUUGGGCAAGAUUCACAAGUCUUCCAAACUGAAUCUGUUUUAUUGUUAUGGUUUGUAAAACCUUUAGGCGUAAUCUCUAAGUUCUUCAGGCAAGGUAUGAUCUCUUUUUUAUUUUCAAAAUUUAAGUUUUUUAUUUAAAAGAGUGUUUAAAUUUAUUUUUAAAUGGUCAAGUUCAUUAAAAUUAAAAAAAAAUAACCAAAAAAUUAAAAAAAUUAAGAAAACUAGGAAAAAAAAACACCAAAGUAAAAAAAUAUAUUCCAAAAAAAAAGAAAAAUAUAAAAAAAAUCUUAAGAAAAUUUUUUUCAAAUCAUUGACUCUAGAUAAAAUUGUUGUUUAUAUCUUUACUUUAUUCUUGAUUCUCAAUAAUAUGUAAAGAAGUGUAGCUGUAAACAUUCAAUUUUAUCUAAAUAAUUGAAAUGGUCCUCGAUUACUUAAAUCAAAUUCGAUACAAUUUAAUUUAACUUGAUUGUAUUUGAAAGCUUAAAGAUCUAAUUCAAAAUUUUGCAUGGGUCUAGUUCAAUUAAAUUUGGGCUUAAAAGCUAAAAGUAUAAAUAUUGUCCAGAUUCAAUUAUAGCACAAAUUUGUUUAAUUAGAAUUUCUUACUUUUUUAUUUUUAACUAAAAAUUAAAACCUUAACAAAAAGGGUAUCUACAAGACUAAGCAAUCCCACCAAGUUUCCCCUUCCCAUAUGCCAAAACCCUUCCCUCUUUGGUACACUAUUUUUAGAUUUCUAAUUUUCAUCAUUAUUUUACUAUACUAACUUUUAACAUAAGUUGAUCAAAAAAAGUUCAAAGCCCUAAACAGUAGUAAGCCAUUGCUACCAUUAUAGUUACAGUCUAAAAUUUUCAAUCAUUUUUUCAUAUGAAUUAAAGGAUUUUACUAAGGGUUUUCUAAUAAUAAAAAAUGAGGAUUCACAACAUGAAAACAAAAAGGGAAUUCUCAGCUAAAGGAGAAAAAAAAAGGCUUUCAACCACCUCUGAUAAGAAAAAAAUCCAUUUACUAGCUAGUUUUUACUCACUCCCUUCACCCAAACUUGAUCAAUUUCACAACCUCAAAAACCCCCCAAAUAAUAGAUCCAAGCCCCAAAUUGACCACAUUCUUAACCACAAUUCACCUUGUACCACCAUCAUUGAUUUAACAUAAACGCACCAGAUACCAAACCCGAAGCCAACCUACCAUGAAGCCCACAACAUAACUUUUCCACCACUAAAGGAAUAAGCCCACCUCAAUAGAAUAAAAAAAAAAAAAAAAACCUUGCAACCACCAUCAUUCAUUGCCUUUAGUUGCUAUCACCAUAUCCAAACGGUCCUUUUCAACUGAGCCUUCCACAAAAACGAAAAAAUUAACACCCAAGCUACCAUCAAUAAGUCACCCAUUUGGCCACAUCAUUUCAUGAUCAAUAGGGCAACCAAAAAACACCACACCCAUUUAACUAGUCACCAAACUCGAAACCAACCCACCAAAAAAAAAAAAGGUAAAACAAAAACAAAAUAAAUCACAAUCCUCAUGUGAGGAACCUAACACCACAAAAAGGGAAAAAAUGAUAAUUGUAAGAAAAAAAAGAAAAAUCCAUUAGAGUUGGUGAAAUGAAAGGCGACAAUGGGAGGUUUUUCAAUUUACAUGGCUUCUACAUGGUUUUAGAUCUUGAAAUUUGGUAAAAAAAAAGGCCAAAGGAAGAUGAAGGACAUAGUAAAAAUUUAAAGCCAAUGGAGUGACAGAAGUGGGUGGUUUAGAACUCUAAAACCUUUGGGUGCAGAUCUAGGUUGUUCUAGAAAGAUUUUAGGAAAAACAAGUUAAUAAAUAGAAAGAUGAUGAGAAAAGCUUUACUUGGGUGAUUUUUGGGAAACAAACUGGUGUCAGUUAAUGGUGGCCAUCGAUGAGGUACAACAAUCGGUGUAACAGGUUAGUACCAGAAUCUAGGUUUUGGAGUUUAAAUGUCUGAUUACUUUUAGAACUUUGGGAUUUUUUAAAAAAAAAAUAGGUAAAAGUAAAGCUUAAAAAGGUAGCUUUUAUAGCAUUAAAAAAACUUAUCAACUAACCCACGCAUUGGCCUAGACUUGACUUGGGGUUUGCGUGCCUAACCUGGUCUAAGGAGAUACUGCCAGACUCAAAUCGAUCCAAUUAAACUUGUUCAGGAUUGGCCAAAAUGAUUAGAUCGUCAGUGAACCAUCCGUUUCCCUUUCAAAUUGACAUUAGUUCAUUCGAACUAAAUCAGAUCCCAACAAACCGCUCUCAGACCAGCCAAUUUAGGUAAUUUUUACAUUUUCAAUUUAUUUAUGUUUAUUUGUUUAUUUAUUUACUAUUAUUAUUAUUAUUAUUAUUAUUUUAUUUAUUUUCUUUACACAUAUUUUAAUAUUGAAAUUUCUAAAAAAAAAUGUAUAUUAUCUCUUUAAAAUAUAAUGAAAAUAAUGAAAAUAAUUUCUAGACUUUUGGUAAUUUUAAAUUAAAAAAAAGUAAUAAAAAAUAAAAAAAUGAUAAAAAUAGUAAAAAAUAGAAAAUGAGGGAAAGAAAAUUUUAAAUUUGAUGAUGAAAUUAUAAAGUGAUCCAAGUAGCGAUGUCAAAAAAAUCUUUAGGUGAGAAGAUUUUUUUAAAAAACUGCUAAUGUAUUAGAGUAAUUAUAAAAAUCUUCAAAAUAAUAAAAAGCUCCAUUUUCUUUUGAAAGAAAAAAUAAUACUAAAAAUAAAAAAGAAAAAAAAGAUAUUAAUAAACACAUUUUUAUAAAAAAAAAAAAAGAGAUGAUGAAAAUGAAUUUUUACCUGAUGAUAAGAUUCUAAGAUUGUCCAAAUAGUGAGGACUAAGAAAUCUCUAGAUAAAAAUUUUUUUUAAAUAUUGUUAAUGAAUUGGAGUAUUUUUAAAAUUUUUUAAUAUAAUAAAAAAAUUUUUCUUCAAAUAAAAAAAAGUGAUAAAAAACCAAUAAAUAAAAAAAAUAGAAUUAUUAAUUAAAAGAGGGAAAUGAAAUAUGGGCAUUAAUAUUUUGUCAAUUGCAUUGCAUGCACAUAAUUCUUGAAAAAUAAACAUGAGCCUCUGAAAAUAAGAUUCUAAAAUAAUCUAAGUAACAAUACAUAAGUAAUCCCUAGAUGAAAAAAAUUCUUUCAAUAUUACUAAUGUAUCGAGACAUUUUAAUGUAUAAGGACAUUUUAAGAGUUCUUUUAAUAACAAAAGUUUAGUUCAUUUUUUUCGAAUAAAAUAGAAUAACAAAAAAUAAUAAUAAAAAAAGAAAAAAAUUAGUUCAAAUAAAAUAAAUUAAGAAAAUUAUUGAUAAAUAUCAAGUUUAAGACCAGUUUCGUUAAAAUUUGAAAGAUAAAACAUAAUUAAUUGGUACCAUUUUAAAUUGUUACUAUGAAGUACUAAUAUUUUCCUACACAUAUUUGACUUUCAGACUCAUACUAGUUUCUUAAACCCCAAAAAUUAUAUUUUUAAUAAAUUUUAAGAUUUUAUUAAAAAGAUAAGGUUUAAUAAAUUGUCAAUCAUACCUAAUAAAAAAAGAUUGAUUACAAAUUUUUUUUAUUUUUAAAAUUCAAUCUUAAAACCAUUAUGACAAAUAUCAUAUCAUGAUUUCUUAACUUUUUUAGUUAAGUUGGAACCUAAAUUACCUAGGAAUAAUAAGACAAUUCAAAAACUACUCAAGGUAAACACUACCAAUGCCUGAAUGAAAAUAUAUAAGGGAGAGAGAUUAUGAAAUUGUUGUAUUAGUAAAUUACUAAUGUAAAGUUUCUUUUAAUUACUAACGUAAAUUACAUAUAUAUAUAUAUGUAUUGGAUGAGUAGGGUGCCCUCACUUAGUGUCAAAUUAAAAGAAACUUUACAUUAGUAAUUUACUAAUACAACAAUUUCAUAAUCUCUCUCCCUUAUAUAUUUUCAUUAUAUAUAUAUAUAUAUAUAUAGAGAGAGAGAGAGAGAGAGAAGGGAAUGUGACUCUGCCUGUUUAAUGACCAACAUUCUCAAAUAAAAGCUAAACGAUGAAAAUGACCCCAGGUGAAAGUUAAUGAGAGAUUCAUUGGUUUUUCCUUUUGGUAUUCAAAUUUUGGGUUUAUAUAUUAAUUAAAACCUUUUAUUGAAUUUGUGUCGCAAAUCAAAUGAUAUUAAUUCAAUAAAAAAUAUUUAUCGUAUCAACAGCUACAUAAUUUGUUAAUAAAAUAUUAGAUUUUUAAUUAAAAUUUAAAUAAUGAAAAUCUCAAAUAUUUAACAAAAAAUAAAUAAAAUUAUUACAAGAAAUAUAAAGUUAUGGAUGUGUAUGUCUUUUUAUUUUUUUAACCAAUAACCACUCAAAUUAAAAACUACCCAUCACUUUUUUUCCCAUUUAAAAAAUUUUUUCAACGGCAUAGUGAGUGUGUCCAAUUUUAUUAUAUAUAUUAGUCCUUUUUAUAAAAGGAGAAUUCAUGUUUCUCUUUUAAAUGUCAAGUGUCAUUGUGAGCGGUGCUACUGUCACUCUAAUGCUAGCGUAGCAUUUGAGUCAUUUUCAUUACGGAAGUCUCUAAUUGAUAAUUUAUAUACUGAAAAUUAAGACUGAUUUACAAAGCCCCGCGUCUCCAUCUGUAUUGUUUAUCAAAAUUUUGGUUUAGAGAUUUGGGUAUAGGAUAAGGAGAAAUCAAAGUUCAAAAUCUUAUAGGAAUAAACAUAAUUUUUUCUUAUUUUAUAUUUAUUUUAUUAAAUUAUAACAAAUUGUAAUAUACAUUGACAAUGAAAUUUUUUUUAACAAUUUUAUAAGUGAAAUUAAUAAAAUAAUAUAUAUUUUUAAUAAAUAUUUUUAAAAAUAAAAAAUUACUUAAAAUAAUAUAACAUAUAUCACUUUAUUAAAACCGCUUACAAAUAAUUUUGUUUAUAUUAUAUCAUUAUCUCAAAUUUUAAUGCAAAUCCAACUUUUAUGAAUGAAUUAAAUGUCUCAUGUUAUCAUUUAUGGAUCUAUAGAAGAUAUAAAAGGACUAGUAUGCUUCUCUUAUAUUAGUAAUUUCAUAAAAACAAAAAGCUGGUUAUGUUGAUAACAUAAAUAAUAUAAUAUAAAUAAAUCAUGAAAUAAAUAAAACAUGAGAUGAAGUAAACACAUGGCAUGAAUUAAGACAUAACAUAAAUAAAUUGCAUAAAUGACAUAGUAAAUAAGAUAAAUAUCACAAUAACAUUUUCAUCGGCACAUAUAAUUAGCCUAGGAAGCUAGAGUUAGAGUAAUUUUUUUGUGUAUUUUUGUUUUCUAUUUUUAUUUUUUAUUAAAUUCAUAUUAUUAUAUCUAAAUGUUUAUUAUUUGUGUUAUAUAUGAUUAGAAGUAAAAUAUAAAGAUUAUAAUUUUCAAAGAACUGACCAAUAAAAUUUCGUAAAGAGAGCCAAUAUUAUUCUGUCACUUCAAUUUAAAAUUAAGUUGAAGUGAAUUUCGUUUUUUGUUAUUUCUUAAUUGCUUCACCAUUUUUUUGGAUGUAUUUAUAAAUUAGUAUUUUCUAAUUAAUUAAUACUAUUCGGUACAACUCACGUAUAGUGGAAACUAGUAUAUAAUAAAAGCUAGUAAAUUUAAAUAUAUUAUUCAAAAAAUGAAUAUGAAAAAUACAUAUACAAAUUUGUAAACAUCCAUCUAUCUUAGGAUAGUAAAAUUAGAAACAUACAUUUAUUUAUCUUAUUAAAAUGUAUGAAUAGAAUUUCACAUUAAUUUUUAGGGUAUUUUAUGAAUAUAACAUGAUUGCCAUUAUCCAAAAAAUAUUAAAUUUAAAGUAUAAUUUAGUAAAUUCAUAUAAUUAUUAUUAAAAUUUUAAAUUUUAAUAUUUAUAUUUUUAUCGUAAAAUUAUGGUCCCUUUUGUACUUCAUCCAAAGUACAAAUUUUUUUAGUUGACACUGUCGAACUUAUCCCAAGUCUUGCAUGAAGUUAACAAUUCAAUUUUAUAAAAUUAAAAUUUUUUUAAUUAAUUUUUGAGUUGAAUUGGAUUUAAAUUUUUUAAGUUAAAAUCAAAUUUUAGAUAAAUUCAUCUUAACUUGUUUGAUAUAUAUAAAUUUUUUAUUAUUUAUUUAAUUUUAUAUUUAUAUUUAAAAAUAUUAUUUUAUAUUAAAAAUAUUUUAUUAAUUUUAAAUCAAAUAAAUUAAUUAUUAUUAUAUAUAAAUUAAAUCAAAUUUAAAUAUAAAAAUAAUAUUUUAAUUUCAAAUCAAAUCGAAUUUAAAUAUUUAAAAUAUAAAAUUAAAUCAAAUGAGCAAAAACUAACUCAACCCCCAUUGUUGCCGUCUGUAGUUCUACCUAUAUGUCUGUAAUGGUAGAUGCAAAUUGCGAUAAGCCGUGGUCAGCACGUGCCUUGCAAACUACUAAGCAGCGCGUAGGCGCCUGUCAGUUUGUCACGAAUUGGAUAUCGGUAAGAGCAGUGGAUGGCAGUGGGCAGGGGAUGAUCUUCGUCUCCCUCGCCUCCAAACCACAAAAAAAAGAAAAAACAAACAACACCAACCACAACAACAAAAUCUCUUUCUUUGAGGGAAAGCCAUUAAUCAUCAAUCCGAAGGCCUCUCAACCAAAUUAUAUGCAUGUUCAUCCUUCUUUCUCUCUUGAUUUUGUGUAAUGACAAUGAAAAUAUUCCUAGAAAUUAGAAUCAUCACUUUGUUCUUUUUACUGAUCAACGAUUAAGGAACUGAAUUAGGCUUUUUCUUUAAUAUUUCUAUUUUUGUCUAGACUUCUUUUUCUAUUGGGUUUAUGGCGACUUUACUCAACUCAAUAUCUUCUAUGACCAACCCAUCACCUGAAACAACAAGGAAACCAUAUGGUUUCUUUUACCAUAUCCCAAACCUUCAUUCUUUUUCACUCAAAAAGGGUUUUAACAGGGUUUUUGCAACUACCCAGAUCACAAUUUCCCCUAAAGACUCUGUUUUUACUUUACCAAAUUGGAAGACAGGGAAAAAUGACACUAAAAGUAGGGAACUUAGGCUUAAAGAUGCUUUUUUUCACAUGGAAUAUAUGGUGGGGAAGGGACAGAAGCCUGAUGCAUCUCAAGCUACACAGCUGUUGUAUGAUUUGUGCAAGGCUAAUAAGAUGAAAAAGUCAAUUAGGGUGAUGGAGAUGAUGGUUGAUUCUGGUAUUAUACCCGAUGCAGCUUCUUAUACUUUCUUGGUCAAUUAUUUAUGUAAGGGAGGAAAUGUUGGACAUGCAAUGCAGUUAGUGGGAAAGAUGGAGGCUCACGGUUAUCCAACUAGUAUUGUUACUUAUAAUUCUGUACUUAGAGGGCUUUAUAUGCAUGGAAACUUGAAGCAAAGCUUGCAAUCGUUGGAUAAGUUAAUACAAAGAGGACUAGUUCCCAAUGAACGUACUUACUCUUUCUUGCUUGAAGCUGCUUGUAAGGAAAAAGGAGUAAAUGAGGCAAUGAAGCUUUUGGAUGAGAUUAUUGCCAAAGGUGGGAAGCAUAAUUUGGUUAGUUACAAUGUUUUGUUGACUGGGUUGUGCAAGGAAGGGAGGACUGAUGAGGCGAUCAGGUUUUUCAGGGAUUUGCCUGCUAAAGGAUUUGAUCCAAAUGUUGUUAGCUGUAACAUUGUGCUAAGGAAUUUGUGCUAUGAGGGACGGUGGAAUGAAGCAAAUGAGCUUUUAGCAGAGAUGGAUGGUGAGGAUCUUUCUCCUUCUAUAGUUACUUACCAUAUAUUGAUUGGUUCUCUUGCCAUCCAUGGCAGGACUGACCAUGCUUUGGUUGUUUUAGAAAAAAUGAUUAGAGAACGUUUUGAGGUCAGUGCCGUAAGCUAUAACCCAAUAAUUGCUCGUCUCUGCCUAGAGGGGAAGGUGGAUCAUGCGGUUAAGUGUCUAAACCAGAUGAUCUAUAAACGUUGUAAACCUGAUGAAGGAACAUAUAAUGCUAUUGCUGUUCUCUGUCAGCAGGGAAUGGUGCAAGAGGCAUUCUCCAUAAUCCUAAGCUUGGGCGCAAACAAAAUUCCUCUCUACAUCAUUUCUACAAGAGUGUGAUUUCUAGCUUAUGCAGAAAAGGAAACACAUAUCCAGCAUUUCAGCUUUUAUAUGAAAUGACCAAGUCUGGAUUCACUCCCCACUCUUACACCUAUUCAUCACUAAUCAGUGGAUUGUGCUUGGAGGGAAUGUUGCAAGGGGCAAUGGAAAUUCUCGUAGUAAUGGAAGAAAGCUACUAUAUGCCUGAUGUUGACAAUUUUAAUGCACUUAUCUUAGGAUUCUGCAAAUCCCAGAGAACUGAUCUGGCCUUGAAGGUUUUCGAAAUGAUGAUAGAGAAGGCUAUAUGCCUAGUGAGACAACUUAUACUAUUCUCGUGGAAGGUAUUGCUCAUGAAGGAAAAAAGAGCUAGCCGCUGAAGUAUUGAAGGAGUUGCAUGUGAGAGAAGUUGUAAGUCAACAUACUGUAGAAAGACUUGUUAUGCAAUACAACCUUUCUGCUAUAGAUAACUUCUGAUUUUUAGGGUGCCAAAAUAUAGAGAGGAAAAUGGAAGAAACUGAAAGAUUAUCAUUCUGUGACUUUAUGCAAAAUUGGUUCUGACUGUUUAGAUCUUUGACAGUGUCAAAACAUGAAUUUUGUAAUGAACCAAGGAAAAAAUAGCUUGAGGUCAAAUGGCACUGUAUCCAAAUUUGGAAGGUGGAGGGAAGAUGAAUCAAGUUCAAGCACAAGGACUCAACUUUGUGGUACUUUAUUUGCUUGAGCUGGUUAAAGGGUCGUUGUAAAUUCUGUACUUGUAGAGCAUUUCUUAGUCAUGUACAAGUUGAUUAUUAUGGUUGAUAUGAGAUGAUUAAUUUUACUCCCCUUUUAAAGCAGGCAUCUAAUAAAAGAAUCAUUUGGCACUUGCUUACUAUAAAUUAUCAUAAUCCUUUCUAGGAUUCACAAAUCAGUAUGUAAAAAUUCUUACACGGAUUCCAUCCUCAGUUGGAAGUGAACUGCAGAGGUCUGACUUCCAUUGGAGUUAGCUUCUUCUUACAGAUGCUUUUUUAUUAUUUACUGAAUUUAUAUGGUUUCAUUCGUCCUUUUCUUAAAAGAAAAGAAGUAUGUUUCAGAGAACCGAAUAACUUUUUUAAUCCAAACUAGGUUGUUGUUCAUAUACAUGUCGUAAGUCAGGGCAAAGAUCCGUCAACGAUGCAGGAAUAGGUAAUUCAGAUUGAUUAUUCAAAUCUAUUGCAAGUCAGGGUAGGAUAUGUCAUUUCGUAUAGGAAUAGGACAUUCCAGAUUAAUGGCAAUGGAAAUACACAAGUCCAACUAAGACCAGUUACUCUCGGUAUUGUUGCAAAUUGGGCCUGGAAGGACUUUGUAUUAAGAGCAGUUAUGAUACAAAUAUUCGAAACAAAGAAAACAUUUUUUUUUUUGUGAUACAAGAUGACAAUUGUGUCAAUCAUAGCUUUACAAGGGCCGAAAGGCUGGAAGCAGAGUAACACAUACUUUAAUUUUGCUGCAAAAAUUUUAGCAUCCAUGUUUGUUGUUGAUAAAUCCAGUCACUUAUAAACCUUCACUUCUCUAAAGAACAUAAGUUGGAAACAAACCUUUGGAAAAUAAGGCAGCCUUAAAAAUCACUUUCAUUUUAUAAAUCACAAACCACAAGCCAAUCAAGAUUUUUCGUCUCAAAUCAUAGAACCACACACAAACAGUUUGCAUCAUUUUAAAAUCGAAUAAACCCCAAAUGCUUGAGAAUAUAUGGCAACCAUUUAUCUCGCAUGUUAGACCAGAGUAACACGGCCAAAUAUUAGACAAAGGCCACUAUGUUUUCAAUUUCAAACUUCGGGAAGCAUGUCAAACAUGACAGACUGAUAGUCUACACAGCUUAAACCACAAAAUCCCAACAUAAUAUCUAGUAGUACUAGGCAACUUCUCAAACAUUCUUAAAACUUAACCUAGGAUUAGAAGACCGGAACAGAUAAGCCUGCCAAAAUAUACAUCCUCUAAUCCUCAUAACUUCAUGCAAUAUAUGCUGUAUGAUUAUGAAGACAAGGGAAUGUCAGGGUAAAGCCUAUCUUGCGCAAGAUGCGCCUACUUUGAUCUCUGCCUCAUCUUUCGGCGCUUCCUCUUUAGCCUCCUCAUGCGCUUCUUCUUCCACUGAAAAGCACGAGAAAAAACCAAAUUACUCAUAAUAUAGAAAAUUAAGUCUAAUCAAAGACAAAUAAGAUGAUUAACUUUUUUAUUCAAAAGCCUCAUACAGUAGAUUAUUCUAUGAACUGUUACCAUAUCAUUCUAUACCAUAUAACCCUGAAAUUAAUAUGGGCAAGCUAGAGUCUCUCAAUUUAAGCCAUAUUAGACUCCACUGCAAACUAUAGUGCAUAACUCAUUUGUGUCUGUUAACAAUAACAGGAAAACAACAGUGUAUACCCUUAAUCAACCCUUUCAUUCAUGCGAAUUAAACACAGUUUCCACUGAAUCACCGGAAAAAAGUUGCAAUUAACGUUUAUGGGAGGAAUUUCUUCAGGGAAUUUAGCUUGAAAUCGCCUAUUAUAGUACAAUCAUGUGCCCCCCCCAAGAUGGCACCAAACCCAAAGCUAAAAAAACAAUGAAAACACAACUCUAGGCUAACAAAUUAAUCUUCCUCAUUACAUUUCAUCAGUCAUUUUGCAUACUUAUAUCCAAGAAAAUCAGCUACAAAAGCAACCAAAAUAGAACUAACUUGCCAAAUCAAUGACGAUAUCAACAAUCCGUGUUAAGACAGAGUUCACCUUAGCUGAAGGUUUCUAGUAGCUUUCCUCAUUUUUCAUGUCUCAGACCAAUAAUCUCUCAACUUCACCCAUUAAUUUUUCAUUUUUUAAUUUUUUCCACCUCAUUGAUUAUAAUCACUUAAGUAGAAAAUCUUAGAUAAAGCUGUAAAAGAAAGUUAUAAAGAAAUUGGAUUAACCAAUUAUAAUCAAACAAUCAUUCAUUACACCCAAAAUUACAAAUAUUCUCUUUCGGUACCACGUUUUUGCAUCAAGCAAACAGAUCAUAAAUCGAUAAUAAAACCCUAAAAUUCUACGAAAUACAUUACAAUAAAUUAAGGAGGCAAAAAUCAAAGGAGUAAAAACAAAUUAAUUUCAAAACGCAAAAGAAAAAAGUAAUAAAUUUAUUUAUUUGGAUAAACAAAAAAUUCAUGAAAGAUCAAGAUUAAUCGAGGAUUUAGAGAAACUUACCUUGGCUCUCAUCUUGAGGUUAGGGCUUUGUUUUUCGAUUCACCUACUAUCCCUGUAGAGAUGAGACGUUUCCCUUAAGAAUUCUAACGGGGGCUUCGUUUGGUAUUUAAAGGCUUACGGUUUGGAAACCCUAAUUCGUGUGGGUAUUGAGGCAACUAUAGGUGUUUACGGGUUGGAGUUACUUGCUUAGACCCGCU